rnacentral:lncRNA from 1 species
CAGAGAAAAAGAAAAGCCAAUUGUUCAAAAGUGCCUAAUAUGCCCACGGAAAAUUUUCGUCACGACCCACAGUUACUCGAAUAGGUAAUAAGACAGGAAUGCCUUUGUUUGUUCGAAUAUAGAAGCACAAUGGCUCAGAAAGGAUCCCUCCAAUCUCCUUGGCACUGUCAGCUGGGUGCGGAGUAGCUUGGUGGCAGCAACCAUGUUUGAGAGGGCUGGCUUCACCUCAGUGUACUUGCGAGUCUUGAGACCACAGUCAGGGUUAACCCACAAAAUGUUGGUUUCUAGCACAGUACGCAUCUCGUAGAUUCUGUCAACAAUUUCUUCGGUUGAUGGUAUUCUUGGAGAGUGGAUGUCAUAGACGCCAGGGCCAAUUGCAGCAUCAUACUGGACUCCCUCACGGAAGACUGACAGGAGAUUCUCAUUAGAACGAGAGUUCUCAAUGGUGAUCACAUCAGCAUCCAUGUCGAUAAUUGAGUGGAUAAUGUCGUUGAAGUUGGAGUAGCACAUGUGGGUGUGGAUCUGUCAAUCAAUAAACAAUAGAAUGAGAUACAAAAUCAACAGCUAAAUUAAAGAGAUGAGAUUGGAGAUUAAAAGGGUAACUGACCUGGGUAGUGUCCUGGAUGCCACAGUUGGUGAUUCUGAAGGAGUGGACUGCCCAGUCCAAGUAGAAAGCAUGCUCAGAUUUCCUGAGAGGCAAUCCUUCCCUCAAGGCAGCCUCAUCAAUUUGAAUAACGUUAAUGCCUGCCUUCUCAAGAUCCUCGACUUCGUCCUUGAUGGCCAAAGCAAUCUGGUAGCAGGUUUCAUGUCUGCAAAAUUGGCAGCGAUUGAUGUUAAACAAUGUUUCCAUUCCAAAAGGUUAACCAAUAGUGAACCAGUUCUCAUUUAUAUACCUGGGCUGGUCAUUUCUGACAAAGGACCAGUUGAGAAUGGUGACAGGGCCAGUAAGCAUUCCCUUCAUUGGGCGAGCAGUCAUGCUCUGAGCCCAGGAGGACCAGAAGACGGUCAUAGCCUUGGGACGGCUCACAUCACCAUAGAUGAUGGGUGGCUUCACACAGCGAGAUCCAUAGGAUUGCACCCACCCAUUGGCAGUGAAGGCGAAACCUGAUAACUGCUCUCCAAAGUACUCAACCAUGUCGUUUCUCUACAAAAACAAAUGUCCGAAUUCAAUUUGAGAUCCAGCAUACUUCGUAUGCAAUUAGAAAUGCAGAAACAAAAAUGUAUAAAAUUUUAUGUAAUUCAAAACCAGGAGACAUUGCUUUGCUUCCAUUGGGCAUUGCGAGACUCACCUCAGGCUCUCCAUGGACAAGGACAUCAAUAUCAAGCUCUUCUUGGAGUUUGACAACCUUGUUGAUUUCCUCCUUGAUGGAAGCAACAUAUUCUUCCUCAGAAAUCCUAAAAAGGACAAAUAGUCACGGCACAGUUAAUACAGUAGUUGCAGUAAUUUCACACAUGGCAUUGAAUGAAGAAACACCUCAGAUUGACUCACUUCUUAGCCUUGUAUUCACGGCGGACUCUCCUAAGUUCAAUGGUUUGUGGGAAGGAUCCAAUUGUGGUGGUUGGGAGGAUUGGAAGAUUGAGCUUCUUCUGUUGAGCAUCUAAUCUAGCACUAACGUUUGUAGCACGUCUGUGGUCUGAUCCCCUCAAAGCAGCAGCCUAAUAGACCAAGAGGAAGGAAUCACUGUUAGCAAAAAAGGAAAUUCUAAGGGACAGCCACAUCAUAAAAAUGGAAAACAAAUCAAUCAUGCCACUUACAGCCUUUUGAACUGCCUCAUUGGUCACUCUCGGGGAGGACUUUCUUGAAGCCUGAGCUGCAGCAUUGGCAGAGAAGAAUCCCUGGAAACAAAUGAUAAGGAGAACCAAAGUUAGUCUCAUUCAUAUCAUUUUAAAAAGAAGAUACAUAUGCAAUUAGUGGGCUGAUUGUGAGAGAAAAAGUCCCCAAAACUUUAAUCAAACACCAAAUGCCCAAGUUGCCAAAUGAUGUUUAAUUCGGAAAAAUAUAUUUAAAAACAUUCAAAUAUAAUUUCCCCUUCUAAAUUUUCAUUUUCAACAACAUAUUUUACAAGCCAAGCUCAACGUCAGGCCAAGAUUUUGUGCUCCUAUAAUUAUAUUUUACCAUAAAACUAGGUCCUUGAAAGGCUAAGAUUUUCUGACUCUUGUGACUAGUCAAAGCCUAAGAUUCUUUCAAUUCAUCCGUAGUAAAAGUAUACCUCAUCCUUUUGGCCAGCCAAAGCCUUGGCCAAUGCAUUGACUUCAACAACUUUCUGGGCAGCAAAUGCCAGCCAUGACUUGAUUUCGUCGUCGAGUUUGUUCUCAUUAACAAGAUCAACAGCAGUGUGAAGAAGUGAGCAGGAGGUGGAGACCACAAGCUUGUCUGCAAAGAAAAGUAAUAAAUUAUACAACAAAUCCCAUAAUAGAAUAAGAAAUAUUUAUCACAAAGAAAAAUGCAAGCAAAGGAUGUAUACCUUUGCCAACAACACCCUCAAGCCCCCGGAGAACACUAAGAGAAGCAGCAAGAUCAUUGGCCCAAAUGUUCCUUCCAUCAACCACUCCAGCAAAGAGGUACUUGCCAGCAGGGAAUCCACUCUUGAUCAAUUCAAGGGUCUUGGUUCCACGAACCAAAUCAAAUCCAUAAGCGGUGACACCCUUCAAAGAAGUGAGGGUCUGGAAUGCCUCAGCUGGAACAUCAGCAAAGUAGGUCUCAACAAGAACAUUCAAGCCAGACAGAGUUGACUCUAGUUCCGCGUAAGCCUCACUGAAUGCUUGCAAUUUGUGUGAGUCAAGAUCCGUAACAAGCAAUGGCUCAUCAAACUGAAUCCAGGAAGCACCAGCAGCCUUAAGCUCAGAAACAACUUCCCUGCAGAAGUGUUAAUUGGUACGACACGGAUUAAUGAUGCCACACGAUACACACACACACACACACACACACACACACACACACACACACACACACACACACACACACACACACACACACACACACACACACACACACACACACACACACACACACACACACACACAGACAGAGUUAUUUAGCACAUACACGUUUAUAAAUCUGUAAAUAGGUGAUAAUUCUUACUUGUAGAUCGGAAGGAUUUUGGGAAGAAGAGAGAGAACAGAAAAGGUCUUCUCAACCCCCCAGGCAGGCUUAGACAGCAACAAGUAUGACACAGGGCCAAUAAGCACUGGGACAGUUUCAACUCCAUGCUGCAGCAUUAGACAAGUGGUAGAUAUUAGCAUCUCACAAACUUGAUCUGACUGAUAGAAAGUUACAAGCAAGUUAAGAAUAUGUUUGAUGAAAUUUCAAUGAAAAAUCUUCAGGGUCCACAACAUGUUGACUAUACCCUUUUUAAGUAAUUUAUCUUAAGACUAUUUUGCAAACAGUAUUGCUUCCCUUUACAGAUCAAAUAAAUCAUACAACAUCUGAACGCAUUUCCUGAGCCAAAUAUAAGUUCAAAGCUCUAUAAUAAAUGUCAAUGACUCUAUAGUAAAUUCCAUCACAUUCUGAGCUAUGGAUGAGCAUAUCAUAUGCCAAUUUCAAGUUGAACGUAACCCAAUUUCAACAUAUUGUAGAUUCAAGUAUCAAACGAAAAAAAAAAUAUUGUAAAUAUAGACAGAACUGAGAACAAACACUCACCCCCUUAGCCUCCUUGUACUCAGUCACAGCCUUGUGGGAAGCGUAGGAGAACUUAACAUCGGGUCCCAAUUCAGGAACAAUGAAAUGACUGCAUCAACACGAAGCCAAACACACGUCAGCAUUCAGUACAAAACCAUUACACCAUAACUAACUUGAAAUGCCGCUCUUCCAAGUAGUGAAUACUUACUAGUUGGUGUCGAACCACUUGGUCAUUUCCAUUGCGAGAACAGAGGCGUUUCCUCUGGCCAUGGAGAAGUAAACAUCGAAUCCAAUCUCGCCGCCGUUCCAGUUAAACCUCGGGGGCACGGCACCGAGCAUUGCGGUGGUGUCGAGCACUUGGUCGUAGUAGGAGAAAGUGUUGCUGGGAAUGUAUUUGAUCCCGGCCUCGGACAUCUGUUUCCAGAUGGAGGAUCUGAGAUCAGCGGACACCUUUUGCAAAUCCUCGGCGCUGCUCUUGCCAUCCCAGAAGGAUUCCAACGCGAACUUGAGCUCCCUCUUGGGGCCCAUGCGUGGGUAACCAACGAUGUGAGAUGCCAUUUUACUGUCAUAAUCACGUCAUCAAUGAAUCGAAAAUCAGUCCCUUCCAUUAAAUCAAGAAAUUAUUAAUUCAAAUGAAUGGAUCACAUUGUAUAUAUAUGGGAUAAAUAUAAUUAUGAACAAAAGCGUCUAAUCAAUCACAAAAAGCAAGCGACUGCAUCAAAUUUAGGGAUCCGACCCGACCCGACCCGAUCUGUAAAUUCCGGUUUCAAUCGGAUUAAGAUGAAACCUCUAACCCGAUAUAGUUGGAUUUUGGCCAACUCGAUCGGAUCAGAUCGGAUCGGAUUAAACUUAGUCCAAUCCGAAAAAUUCAAAAAAUCAAAACUACAAUAAGUAUAAAUCUAAAUUUUCAAUUCAAUUUGAUCUAAUCUGAAUAUAUUCGAAUCGGAUCAAAUACUAUGCUCUGCUUAAACUUGGAUUAUAUUUUUUUCAAUUUGAUUAACCUAAAAUUCGAUUGGAUAGAUCCAAAACUGAAUUUAUCUACCCCUCAGUCAUCAAUCAAUUACAAAACCUAAAAUCCGAUUGGAUAGAUCCGAAACUGAAUUUAUCCACCCUUAAGUCAUCAAUCAAUUACAAAGGCGACUGAUGUUUAUACAAUGGACAAUUAUUAAGUUACAGCUCUUGUAAUUUACAACUUAUACAAAAAUAUGUGAAAAAUUGUGAUAGGCAGUACAGUGUCAUGAUUUUAUACAAAAAUAUGUAAACAAUUGUGAUAGACGGUAGAACCUCAUGAUUUUAUAAAAAAUACGUAAAAAGUUGGGAUAAGUAAUGGAGCCCGCAUAAUUUUUUAUCAGCUGCAAGUUGCAAGUUACAGCAACUGUAACUUAGCGACCCCGACUUCAAUGUAAAAUGAGAAAGUACUCCUCCGCAUAGUACCUGAUGCUCAAAAGUCAAAUCACACGAAAUGCAAAUAGACUUAUCAGAGCAUAAAACCUUAUAUUACUUUUUGAAAAACGAUUUGAAACAAGGGCAAAAUUACAGUGUAACCGUACUUAGUCAUUGAAUUCAGCUCACAAUUAUCAUUAUAGUUAGAUCUAAUAACUAGAUCCAACUGUAUCCACAGUUAUAUUGUAGUUAGAUCUGAUAACUAAAUCCAGAUCCAGCUGUCCCCACAAUUGUCAUUAUAGUUAGAUCUAAUAAUUAGAUUCGGCUGAUUCAGCUGUGAUGUAGUACCCUGUAGUGCCAUAACUGGACAAAGAAACAAACUGAUAUAUUUUCUUUUUUGAAACAAACUGAUACUAAUCCAAGAGUUUCAGAUGAUCGGUUUUUUUUUUUUUUUCUAUAGUCACAUCAAUAAUUAAGUACUUUCAGUCAUUUUCGAAGGAUUAAAACGAAAACUCUAAAAAAAUUCUGAGAAUGAAGAAUCCGAAAAUAGAUUCAGAAAUAGUAACACAAGUAGAGGUCAGAUUGUUUUUUGGAAAAGAUUAAUUGCAGAUCUGAUGAACUCAAGUCUAGAUCUAGCAAAAUCACGGCAGCCAAACACUAGAUCUAAGACUAACAGUCACUCACCAGUCGAUCAGAAAGUGAAAUCAAGUUCAAAAUUCUUUUUUUUUAAUAGAUCCAAAAGCUAAUAUACAUAUAUAUAUGGCAAAAUAUAUAUACCGUACCCGAGAAGGACGAGCAGAGAAAUUAAGCUUUUUUCGAGAGAACGAGAAAGAAGAGAGACGAGACUGUUAGAAAUUGCUGUCAGUUUAAUUUUUAUUUAUAGCCAAAAACCUAACCUUGUUUAGUGGUUACUGGUUACCGUCUUCGGCGGUGUUGAUCUGAGAUUUAUCAUUUUAAUUUCUUUCUCUUACUUAUUUAUUUAAUUUGGGUCCAACUACGGUGAAACUGUAGUACCGUGCUACAGUUAUUUUCAACCGUUUGAUUCACUUGGAUGGUGGGAUCCAAUAAAAUCCAAUAACUGGGUGCAACCGUAGCACGGUGCCGCAGUUGCACCACAGUUUUUCCCAUUUAUUUAUUAUGCUUUCAGUGCAGUUGGCAAAAACAUGGAGCUUACGCGCGCUUUUCUGAUGUGGCGCGUGAAUUGGAAAUGUGGUAGAUCUUUGUGGAUCCGCCGGUGCAGUGAAGAGUGAAGGAAAAAAGAGAAAAGUUAUCAUGCCAGAUCAUUUGAAGAGAGCCGCAAUUAGUAAUUACACCACAAUAUAUUUCUGAUUAUUUGCUUACUUUGAUGAUGUUUUUACUGAUUAGUAAUUGGAAUAUGUUAGAAUCUAAAUAUAGUAGAAUCAUAAUAGAGUUGAAUCAAAAUAGACUAUAAUUAGAAUGGAUAAUGGGAAUUAGAAGAAUUAUUUGCUUUAGUUGUGAGAAUCCAAAUUGGAAUGAACUAUAUUGUCGUUGAUAUGUUUACUUUAUCAUAGAAUAUGAAUGAAUUAUUACAAGUUACUAAACAGACCUUAAGUUGAUUAUUGUCAUUAUUUAUUUAUUUAUUAUUAUUAUUAUUAUUAUCAUCAUCAUCAUCAUCAAAAUUAUUAAUCUUAUUAUUAAUGUUAAUUAUAAUAAUUAAUAAUUAUAAUAGUAUUAUAAUAAUAAUAAUAAUAAAAGCAAUCAUAAAAUGAGAAUUUCAAGAUUUAAGUAGAGAUAAUAUAAUUAUUUUAGAAAAUGAGAAUUUCCAUGAGAAUGUGAACUCUAUUAAUCAUUCCCAAUUUGAAGUGGGGCCUGCCAUUUUGAUUCAAUCUCUCAUUUAAGCAAGUAAAUACGACAUUUAUUCUCAUUCCCUCAUUCCCACUCUCAGGUAGCGUUUGUUUUUUAACUUAAUGACUUAAAGUGACUUAACUUAAUUAAUUAAGUUAAUUAGAGGUGUUUAUUUUUAUAACUUAAUGAGACUUUUUAGAUAAUUUUGACUUAAUAAAAUGAGCCAAUUUUUUUUGGCUUUUUACUUAAUGGAGAAAUUUGAAUUUAGUCAAUUACUUACUAAUGUCAAAAAUAUCUAUGUUUUAUAAUUUAUUUUUCAUGUCUAUCCCAAAACUCACCCAUAGACAUUUACCCCACAUAAAAAUAUCCCUAUUUUUUCUUUCUUAUAUUAUAUACGAUAAAAUUUGAAAUUUAUGGUAUUUUAUAUAUUAAAAUUCUAAAAUAAUUAUGUAUUCACUUGAAUAUAGUUUUACUUAUAACUGUUAAAAUAUUGUGGUAUUUAAUAUAUUAUUUAUUUGACAUUAAAAUUUAAUAAGGAUACAAAUGUAAAAGUACAUAUUUUCAGUUUUUUCAGUUAAAAAAAAAGCAACUUAAUACUUAUUUUUCGAGAUUCAGACGAAAAAAUAAACAUAUUAUUCAUAUUCAGACAUUUAGAUAUAUUCAGAAUUCAAACUAAUUCAGGUCUAUUCAGAUUUUAGACAAAAAAAACAAACGCCACCUCAAUCAAUAAACACACCAUAAAUGUAGAGUUGUUACUAUUAGAAUACAUUAUAAUUCAUCACAAUUAUGAUAGGUAUAUACGUGUGUAAUAAUUUAUAUAAGAUGCUAAAUUUUGAAAAUAAUAAAAAAUCAUUUAUACAUAUUUAAAAAAAUCAUUAAUACAUUAAAAUGUGCAUCACAUAUACAUUUACAUAAUAGCAAUGACCAUAGUAUAAAAAAAACUCCUAAAAGAGAACGACUUCGUUAUUUAUGUUAUUUUAUAUAUUUUUAAUUGAUUAUUAAAAGGAUCAAUUGUUAAUUAUUAUUCUCCAAACAUAAUCACCGUUAAACAUUUAUUCAAUUUAACAAUAGGUAGAUGUUAAAUAAUAUUGGAAUAUUUAAUGAACAAUAUAAUCACUAUUGCAGUUGUUUUUUUUUUUUAGUAAUGGAUUAUUCGAAACUCAAAUUCAUUUUUUAGCCCCCUUACCUCUCUUAAAAUUCAAAUUUAAGUGACUAAACAAAUAAAACUGCUUAAAAUCUAUACGACUACAUCUUUGGGGACCAAUUAAUAUGGAUGUUUAAAUCUUGAUUUAUUAUUAAAUCUUUGAGUUUCAACCACUAAUAACAUCAUCAUCGAUUAAUGACAAAUAAAAUAAUACAUCAUCAAAACCAUUAAACACGUCCAUCAAUAUCAAAAACAAGUAAAAAGUUUAGCAUGUAUUUCAAAUAUACUUUUCAUCCCAAAAGUUGUAGAGAAAGUCUCGAUAUCAAUGUCACUAUGAGACGUAAUUUUAUAUUUAAAGUCAGCGCAACUUAAAAAUUACUAUGAAUGAAUAAUACACCAUAAAAAAAUUAUUUAUAAGUAUUUUCAUCAUGUAUUUUUAUUUAACAAUGGUGACAUUUAUUUUUUAACUUAAUGACUUAAAGUGGCUUAACUUAAUUAAUUAAGUUAAUUUUAGGUGUUUGUUUUUAUAACUUAAUAGGACAUUUUAGAUAAUUUUGACUUAAUAAAAUAGGCCAAUUUUUUUUAACUUUUUACUUAAUAGAGAAAUUUGAAUUAAGUCAGUUACUUUCUAAUGUAAAAAAAUAUUCCUACUUUAUAAUUUAUUUUUCAUGCAUAUUCAAAAACUCACCCAUAGAUAUUUACCCCACAUAAUCUCAUCUUUAUUUUCUUCCAGCCGUCAUGGAAUCCCUCCUCACUUUGCUUCUCUCCUCUAGUUCUUGAAUCUCCCUUUAAUUUCUCGCUAGGCAAAGCACUUGAAUUGGGCUUUUUUUUUUUCCUUUUCAAUUACGUUUUCCAACAUUCACUUAUAUAAUAAUCAACUAGUUGCUACUCUUUUUAGUGAUAAAAUUUGAAAUAUGGUAUUUUAUAUAUUAAAUUUUCAAAAUUAUGUAUUCACUUAAAUGUAGUUUUACUUAUAAAUAUUAAAAUAUUAUGUUAUUUAAUAUAUUAUUUAUUUGACAUUCAAAUUUAAUAAGGAUAUAAAUGUAAAAGUACAUAUUUUUAAUUUUUUAAGUUGAAAAAAUAACUUAAUAUUUAUUUUCAGAUAUUCAAAUAAAAAAUAUAUUAUUUAAAUUCAAAAAUUUAAAUCUAUUCAAAAUUUAAAGUAAUUCAGGUCUAUGCAUAUUUCAAUCAUAAAAACAAAUGCCACAUGAGUCAUUCAAUUUCUAAUUAAGAGGAUAAAAAAUAGAUUUGGACUAUCCUAAGACAAAAACAAAAAAAAAAACAAAAAUAAGAUUUCCUAAUAAGUGUACUAACGUGGUCACGCGCCUUGAGAAACGCUUGGACCUAACACACUAUUUUAAUCCGAUAUGCAAAAAAAGAAAAAAAAAAAAAAGGAAAAAUUAUGAGAUGUAUAAGUUUCUAGAGACGUGUUAAAUUUUGAUGAAACAAUGAAGAAAGUCGGUGGCCGAAGUUGGUAUGGGGCAAUGCGAAUGGUGGUUGGCCCACGUUGCCCUGUAAUUGGAGUUGUUAUAAUUUUUCUUAUAAUUAAUAGGACUUGACACAGACUGCAGCAUCAGCCGUUGGAUGUGGAGGGAGAAACUAAACAAUAGAAAACCGUAUGGUGGGAUGACGGUAGAUGUUUGUUACAGAAACUGUACCAUAGACAGGUCCUAAUUAAUAAGCUCUACGUUUUGAAACAAUAAAUAAACUCCAGAUGACCAAAAUAUCAUUUCAUACUGCUACCUAGACAUCUUGGCGAGGGUGGGUAAUGUGGGGCCCGGAGCUUGUUUGAUCGUCAAUUAUUCUCUGGUUUGGUGAAACGAAUGGACGGACGAUGGUGAUGGCUUUUAGGAGAUUAGUAUUAUUAUUAUUAUUAUUAUUAUUACAUUGAGAUCGUAAAACAAAAAAUUCAAUUAAUAAUAUAAAAUAUUUAUUUAAUUUAUUAAUUAUUAUAUAUACACAAUAAAAAAAUUUAUAUACAUAUUUAUAAAUGUGUAAAUAAAUUUCAUUCAAUAUUAUAUCCAAUUAAUCAUUUAUAUUUUUCUGCUGUACCGUACAUCCGCCUUGGCCGUACAGCAGUAAAGCUGCUGAUGCUUUAUCGCGAAUUCAUGAGGAAAAUGUGAUUGAAGAACCCAAACCAACAACUCUUUGUUUGUCGUUAGACAUUUACCCCACAUAAAAAUAUCCCUAUUUUUUCUUUCUUAUAUUAUAUACGAUAAAAUUUGAAAUUUAUGGUAUUUUAUAUAUUAAAAUUCUAAAAUAAUUAUGUAUUCACUUGAAUAUAGUUUUACUUAUAACUGUUAAAAUAUUGUGGUAUUUAAUAUAUUAUUUAUUUGACAUUAAAAUUUAAUAAGGAUACAAAUGUAAAAGUACAUAUUUUCAGUUUUUUCAGUUAAAAAAAAAGCAACUUAAUACUUAUUUUUCGAGAUUCAGACGAAAAAAUAAACAUAUUAUUCAUAUUCAGACAUUUAGAUAUAUUCAGAAUUCAAACUAAUUCAGGUCUAUUCAGAUUUUAGACAAAAAAAACAAACGCCACCUCAAUCAAUAAACACACCAUAAAUGUAGAGUUGUUACUAUUAGAAUACAUUAUAAUUCAUCACAAUUAUGAUAGGUAUAUACGUGUGUAAUAAUUUAUAUAAGAUGCUAAAUUUUGAAAAUAAUAAAAAAUCAUUUAUACAUAUUUAAAAAAAUCAUUAAUACAUUAAAAUGUGCAUCACAUAUACAUUUACAUAAUAGCAAUGACCAUAGUAUAAAAAAAACUCCUAAAAGAGAACGACUUCGUUAUUUAUGUUAUUUUAUAUAUUUUUAAUUGAUUAUUAAAAGGAUCAAUUGUUAAUUAUUAUUCUCCAAACAUAAUCACCGUUAAACAUUUAUUCAAUUUAACAAUAGGUAGAUGUUAAAUAAUAUUGGAAUAUUUAAUGAACAAUAUAAUCACUAUUGCAGUUGUUUUUUUUUUUUAGUAAUGGAUUAUUCGAAACUCAAAUUCAUUUUUUAGCCCCCUUACCUCUCUUAAAAUUCAAAUUUAAGUGACUAAACAAAUAAAACUGCUUAAAAUCUAUACGACUACAUCUUUGGGGACCAAUUAAUAUGGAUGUUUAAAUCUUGAUUUAUUAUUAAAUCUUUGAGUUUCAACCACUAAUAACAUCAUCAUCGAUUAAUGACAAAUAAAAUAAUACAUCAUCAAAACCAUUAAACACGUCCAUCAAUAUCAAAAACAAGUAAAAAGUUUAGCAUGUAUUUCAAAUAUACUUUUCAUCCCAAAAGUUGUAGAGAAAGUCUCGAUAUCAAUGUCACUAUGAGACGUAAUUUUAUAUUUAAAGUCAGCGCAACUUAAAAAUUACUAUGAAUGAAUAAUACACCAUAAAAAAAUUAUUUAUAAGUAUUUUCAUCAUGUAUUUUUAUUUAACAAUGGUGACAUUUAUUUUUUAACUUAAUGACUUAAAGUGGCUUAACUUAAUUAAUUAAGUUAAUUUUAGGUGUUUGUUUUUAUAACUUAAUAGGACAUUUUAGAUAAUUUUGACUUAAUAAAAUAGGCCAAUUUUUUUUAACUUUUUACUUAAUAGAGAAAUUUGAAUUAAGUCAGUUACUUUCUAAUGUAAAAAAAUAUUCCUACUUUAUAAUUUAUUUUUCAUGCAUAUUCAAAAACUCACCCAUAGAUAUUUACCCCACAUAAUCUCAUCUUUAUUUUCUUCCAGCCGUCAUGGAAUCCCUCCUCACUUUGCUUCUCUCCUCUAGUUCUUGAAUCUCCCUUUAAUUUCUCGCUAGGCAAAGCACUUGAAUUGGGCUUUUUUUUUUUUCCUUUUCAAUUACGUUUUCCAACAUUCACUUAUAUAAUAAUCAACUAGUUGCUACUCUUUUUAGUGAUAAAAUUUGAAAUAUGGUAUUUUAUAUAUUAAAUUUUCAAAAUUAUGUAUUCACUUAAAUGUAGUUUUACUUAUAAAUAUUAAAAUAUUAUGUUAUUUAAUAUAUUAUUUAUUUGACAUUCAAAUUUAAUAAGGAUAUAAAUGUAAAAGUACAUAUUUUUAAUUUUUUAAGUUGAAAAAAUAACUUAAUAUUUAUUUUCAGAUAUUCAAAUAAAAAAUAUAUUAUUUAAAUUCAAAAAUUUAAAUCUAUUCAAAAUUUAAAGUAAUUCAGGUCUAUGCAUAUUUCAAUCAUAAAAACAAAUGCCACAUGAGUCAUUCAAUUUCUAAUUAAGAGGAUAAAAAAUAGAUUUGGACUAUCCUAAGACAAAAACAAAAAAAAAAACAAAAAUAAGAUUUCCUAAUAAGUGUACUAACGUGGUCACGCGCCUUGAGAAACGCUUGGACCUAACACACUAUUUUAAUCCGAUAUGCAAAAAAAGAAAAAAAAAAAAAAGGAAAAAUUAUGAGAUGUAUAAGUUUCUAGAGACGUGUUAAAUUUUGAUGAAACAAUGAAGAAAGUCGGUGGCCGAAGUUGGUAUGGGGCAAUGCGAAUGGUGGUUGGCCCACGUUGCCCUGUAAUUGGAGUUGUUAUAAUUUUUCUUAUAAUUAAUAGGACUUGACACAGACUGCAGCAUCAGCCGUUGGAUGUGGAGGGAGAAACUAAACAAUAGAAAACCGUAUGGUGGGAUGACGGUAGAUGUUUGUUACAGAAACUGUACCAUAGACAGGUCCUAAUUAAUAAGCUCUACGUUUUGAAACAAUAAAUAAACUCCAGAUGACCAAAAUAUCAUUUCAUACUGCUACCUAGACAUCUUGGCGAGGGUGGGUAAUGUGGGGCCCGGAGCUUGUUUGAUCGUCAAUUAUUCUCUGGUUUGGUGAAACGAAUGGACGGACGAUGGUGAUGGCUUUUAGGAGAUUAGUAUUAUUAUUAUUAUUAUUAUUAUUACAUUGAGAUCGUAAAACAAAAAAUUCAAUUAAUAAUAUAAAAUAUUUAUUUAAUUUAUUAAUUAUUAUAUAUACACAAUAAAAAAAUUUAUAUACAUAUUUAUAAAUGUGUAAAUAAAUUUCAUUCAAUAUUAUAUCCAAUUAAUCAUUUAUAUUUUUACAGCGGUUUAAUAAUAAUAUUUACUAAAUACAUAUGAUUAUUUUUAAAAUUCACAGUAUUUUUAAAAAUAAAUUUUAUAAAAUUUUUAACUAAUUUUCUUUACAACUAACUAUUGAACGGUUUAACUAAUAGUAAUUAUUUUUAAAAUUAUAGUAUUAUCAAAUUAGUCCUAUGUCAAAUUUGUUAUUGCUGUUUUUUUUUUAAUUAAAAAAUUACAUAGUGCAUACGUGCAUAAUAUGCCCAACUCAAAAAUUCACACAAAAUAUACUAUUUAACUUUAAGGCUUUAAUUGAAAAAAAAAAUUAAGAUUAAGAUGAAUAAAUACUAGAACAUAACAAAUAGAUAAACUCUCCCAUUCUUUAAAAAGAUUAAUUUUAUUUUAAACUUACACUUCGAAUUCAAAGUAGACAUUGAUUGAUAAAAUUAUACAAACGGAUCAAUAUUCCUACAUUUUCUUUUUAAUUUCAAAACCAACAGAUAUUGUUUGUUCAUUAUAUGACCUCCAAACAAAUAAUUUCAUUAAUAAAAUAAUAAUGAAAAGUGUCGUGAUGGGUAUAGAGUAAUUAGGUGGCUAAGUUUCUACUUUUCAUUCUAACUCUUGAGGUUGGUAGGCGCGUGGGUGGUCCACAAAACCCGUGGACGGUAGCAUUCAAACAAAGACUGGAGGCACCAGAAAAAUGUCCAAAAAGUGUGAAACCGUGACGUGUUCAACAUGUUAAUAAAUUUAGGCAAAUGUUAAAGUUACGGAGCUGGCUACGUUACAGAAACUGUACGUAACAGCCAUGCAUUUUUUAUUCGUUGGAUCUAGAGACUGAAAUUGGAUGGUUGGGAUUAAAGGCCAGAAUAGAAAUUAAUCACGGGCAACCGUUUUUAACAUUUAGAAGGGUUUAUUUUCAUGCACACCCAAAUAUUUUGACAAAUAUCAAUAUGCACCCAGUAACUUUUUAUGUAAAACCACAUAACCGACCCGUUAACUUUUCUACUAUUGAAUUAAAAAACUAUCAUGCCUCAAUUGAAUUAAAUUGAUCAGGUAAAAUAUCUUUUAUAACUUGUCAAUUUUUACAGUGAAAUAUACGAGUAUUUAGUAAAAUCAAAUUUAUUUUUUAUUCAGUAAUCAAAUUUUUUUAUUUAGUGAAAUCAAAAUUAUUUUUCUUUAGUUGUAAGAUUUUUUUAACAAAAAAAUUCUAAAAUCAGAUUUAACUCAUUUACUAUUUUAAAAAAUGAACUUUUUACUAACCAAACUAGAGUUUAUCUUUAGUCAACAUAUUUUUUUCUCUAAAAUAACCUUUGAUAGAAUUACUUAUAUAAACAUGUCAGUAUCAAAAUUACUUCAUAUUUUACCAUCCAUCAAUUUAAACUAGUGUGAAAUUUUUUUAGUUUGAUAUUGAAAAUAUGAUAGUUGAUGAGAGAAAUCUAAUUCAAAUUUACAGAUAGAAUAGUUUCUUAUAAUUGCGUACAUGGUAUAUCAAAAAUAUUUUUUUGUGAGUUUUUAAAAAAAUUGUGUCACAAGAUGAAAUUAUCUCUUGAUUUUUCAAUUCCUGGAAUUUAUGUAAAACAAUAAACACAAGUAAAUCUUUUGGUUUGUGACUUCUUGAAGGAAUGUUUGGGAACGCACAAGUUCCUCUCUCCUUCAAAAAGAAUGAUAAGUGCAAAUACCAACCUAGAAAAUUGAUUUAUAAUUCAAAGAAGAUUUGAUUGAAGAUGAUUAAUUGAAAUUUAUCUUUGCAUGAUGUCAAACAUUUUUCAAAAUGACUAAGUCAAGUCUCUUUGUUAAUUCAAAUCAAGAAAAAUUAGAAAAAUAUUAAUGCAUAGAAAUUCUACUAAGAGUUAUUUAUGAAAUUCUCAAACGAAUAGAAAUUAAAUUAACAUUUUUAAAUUUUAGUUAUGGGUUUAUUUUAAAAAUGGGUUUAGAAAGAAAUUUGAGGGGUUUAAAGAACCCCGCCCUUUCUUUAAUUAUUCGGUGAAUUUGAAAUAUAUUAAUAAGGUAUAAGAAUAUGUUAUUCUAAUCUUCUUAUGCAAAAUCUAUGCAAUUAAAAAAAAAUUCACCAAACGGUAUUUGUCUUUUUAUUGACAUUUAAUAAUAUUGAUGGCAAAUAUAUACAAUUAUCAAUCAAUUGUUAUCAACUAUUCAAGAUAACUGAAAAACUAAUUGCGUGAAGUUGGAGUAAUGAUUGUUUGAAUUGCCAAGAGUUUUUUUUUAAUAGAAACUAUUGCAAUUCAUAUCAUUAAAAAACUUAAAGACUACAAGUCGAAUAAAAAAUCUUUCCUUAUAAAAGAAUUUGACCAACUCAAAGUACAGUGUUAAAUCCUUGAGAUACAAUGAACCUAAAAAUCCUACUUUGACACACCACAAAUAAUGAAUCUAACUUAACAAUCAAUGGAGAUAAAUCAAUUUUACUAGCAAAAUAUAAGCCAAAACACAAGGCAACGUCUUCACCAAAAUCAAUAUCAUUCAAAUAAUUCCCCUUGUGAACGCCUGAAGCUAUCAUAAAAACAACAAAAAAUAAAAAAAUAAAAACAAGUAGACAAGCAAAAAAAUUCCCCAAUAACAAGUUACCCUACAAAACUUUUCCUUGUAGAACAUACACAGAAACCGCAGCUAUAGGGCUAUCGAAAGUAGGGAUGGCAAUGGGGAGGGGAGGGGAGGGGACCAAUCUCCCCAUACCCAUCCCCGAUAUUUUGCGUAUGUCCCCGUCCCCGUCAGAAUUGCUUGAGAGAAUCUCCAUCCCCUCCCCGAAUAAUAACAGGGGAUCCCCGAGGGUCCCCGGUCUUUGGAAAAGCUAGGAAAGAAAAGGGACGUGAAAAACAAAGGGGGUAGAUUUUUUGAAGGGGAAAGAAAAAGAAACCCUAGAUCUAAAUUUUUCUCUUCUCUCUAUGAAGAACUAAACCUAUUAUUCUGGUUGAAGAUUAAUAAAGCUUUGGUUCAUCAUUACUGUGAGAUCUUUCUUAUGCUUUAAUUGUUUUAUUGCUUUUUGGGUAUUUGUUUAUUCUCUAAAUUAUUGUCAUGAUUAUAUUUGUUAAUUAGAUAAUUGGCCACUAUUUAAUUAUCAACUUAAUCUAUUGUCAAUUAAAAGAUUCAUCGUAUGAAGAUUUUAAUAUUUGUGACAAAUAGCAUAGCAGUGCGUUGUGUUAUGAGAAUAAACAAUCUAAUUUAAAUGAACCAUCGUAUGCGUUUGUUGAUUAGGAUUUGGGUCUCUCUGAUUUUUCAGGUUGUCAAUUAAUUAAAUCCUAUGAUUGUAUCUAGGGUUAUCUAUUAAUUAGGGAAAUAACCAAUGGUCGUACCUUAGUUAUCGACUAGUUAAAGAGAGAUUGGCUAUUAAAGGGUCUCAGUAGCUAGGGAUGGCAAAAAUCCCCACGGGGACGGGCACCCUCGGGGAUUUUCCCCAUUCGGGGAGGGUACGGGGAUAAUUUUAUACCCAAUUUUUUUUUCGGGGAGGGGACGGGGAAAAUUUUUUACCCAAUUUUUUAUUCGGGGAGGGGACGGGGAUGAGGUGGAAUCCCCAUCCCCUACCCAUUUCCCCAUUUUAAUUUUUAUUUUUUAUUUUUAAAAUUACUAAUAAAUAUAUAACAAAAUUAUAAAUAUUGGCAAGAUAUGAGUGGAAUUUUGGGUGUGACAUGUAUAUUUGAUCCAAGGUAUAAAAAGAAGUUCAUUGAAUAAUACUUUUCUUUUUAUUUUUAAAAUUACUAAUAAAUAAAUAACAAAAUUAUAAAUAUUGUUAAAAAUAAUAAAUAUCAAAAUAGUUGUAUGUUGGGAAAGUGGUCACCCCUUACCAGGAAUUAGUGGAAGAGUAUCAAUUGAAGUUUUCACCAAUUGUUUAUUGCUUUGAUUAUACUGGUUGUAGUUCUUCUAUUAGAUCUACAGGGGAUUCUUAUAAGAAAGCAACCAAAUGGAUGACAUGUUUUGAUGAUUAUGUAAACAAUGGAGAUUGUGCAGUUGUUGCAGAUGAAUUAGAUUCAUAUUUGGAUGAAAAAGUUAUACCCCGGAUGGAAGAUUUUAAUAUUUUGAGUUGGUGGAAGACAAAUGCUAAUAGGUAUCCUACAUUAGCUCGAAUUGCUACAGGACGAGCAGGAGGUAAAUAGUUUUAUUAAAAAUAUUAAUUAAGUAUCUACAUUUAUUUCAUUUAUUUUAUUGCCGAUGUAAAAAAUAUUUUUUUUUUCUUUUUAUUGUAGGAUUAUGAAGAUUGAGACAUUGAUAAAGAUAAUUAUUUUAAUAAUUUAUAUUUUGAAUGUGACUUUGUAAUGGAUCAAUAUUAAUGUAAGAUAUAUUUUAAACUUUAUUUUUAUCUGAAUUUUUUAUUUUAAUAUGAUUAAUUUAAAAUCAAAAAUAAAAAAAUGUAUUAGACUAUUAAUUAUUCGGAGACCGGGGACCCUCGGGGAUCCCCUGUUAUUAUUCGGGGAGGGGAUGGGGAUUCUCUCAAGCAAUUCUAACGGGGACGGGGAGGGGACGGGGACAUACGCAAAAUAUCGGGGAUGGGUAUGGGGAGAUUAGUCCCCUCCCCUCUCCUCCCCAUUGCCAUCCCUAGAUUUUUGCCAUCCCUAUCGAAACCUCUACCCACCACUAUUAGAGUUAAAAAAAUCUCUGAUAUGAGUGUAUUCUUCUAAUUUGAACUCUAACGUGAUUUUUUGAGAGAUUCAUUGGAAAAAAACCUUAAGGAGUUAAAGAAGAAAUUUAAAAAAAAAAUCAUAAAAAGAGGAAUGAAAAGAAAAAGAUGCUUUACCAAGAGUUGAUUGACAGUAAUUGGUAAAUUUGAGCAUGCAAUAAAAUUUACCCAUAUAUUCAUAUGACAUAAAAUAUAAUUUUAUUCAUUAAUUACACUACUAAUUUGUCUAAAUUUUAGUUUUUAAAAAAAUAAAUUUCUAUAUAUUUACAUAAAUCUUAGUUUUUAUAAAAAUAAAUUGAAAAAUAAAUUUAUGUUUUUAUAAAAAUAAAUUUAUGUUUAUUUUUUUACAUUGACCUGAAGAAAAGACUAGUACUACUAAGCUGCUGUACGGCCAAGGCGGAUGUACGGUACAGCAGCAAUUUGACUGUUUGGGGGUGGGGUUGAUGGCUUACAUCAAAGUUAGUGUGUGCUAAGGAUUAACAAUAAUAAUGGGGUAAAUAUGAAAUUAAUCCUUGCCCAAGCAUUAGAAGUUCGUCGGUUUUCUUUUAACCGGAUAAUUACCGGUGAAUAUGUCACGCGUUCCUACACGUGGCAGCAUCUAAUUUAUUCGCUUGUCAUUUCAGUUUCUGUUAGUUACAGUUUCUGUAACGUAGCUAGCUCCGUCAGGUACAGGCAUGUUGUAACUUACGUUUCUCGUAAAAAUCAUAUAAGUUCUAUUUCUACCGCUAGGGUGAGCAUGGGUUGAUUUGGAUUAAAUUUUAAGUUAAUUUAAAUUAAAUUAUAAAAAUUUGGGUGUAAUCUAAAUUAAUUUAAAUAUUUUUAACAUAACUCAUGGGUUGGUUAAAUCAAACUAUAAAAAUUUGGUCCAACUCAAAUUAACUCAAAUAUUUUCAACACAACCCAAAGCAACUCAGUUGGAUUUUAUUAAAAUUAUAAUAAUUAUUAAUUGUUUUUAAACCAACCAUUUUGAGUUUGGUUUGGAUUUUAUUAUCAAAAUAUAUUUUUUAUUUUGAGAAAUUUAAUUUUAUCAAAAUUAUAAUAAUUAUUAAUUGUUAUUACUUAUUAAAUUGAUAAUAACAUAUAAAAAUUAUAAUUCAUAAAAAUUAUAAAUAACAAAUUUUACAAUAACUUAAUCCUUAAAUUAAAGAAUACUAGAAAAUUAAAAUAAAGUUUAAUCACAAAAAUCAUUAUUUAUCAAUAAAUAAGAAAAUUCUAAUAAAAAACUUCUACAAGCACGAUAUCGACAAGUAAAUUCAAAGAAAGAAAGAAAGAAAGAAAAGACUAGUACUACUAAGUAUUAACCCUAUUACAACACAAACUCUAACAAUGUCCAUACAAAUAAAAAAAAAUAAGACAUUCUAACUCAAGUGUCAAAGCAAUCCAUCAUAAUCAUUUCCAUCCGUAGUACUUUAAUCGAGAGAUUCCACGAUUAACUGACAAAAUGUAUGACAAUGAUAAUUUACAUUGAUUAUGACAUAAUAGAGAUGGAUUUGUCAAAGCCAAAUCAUUUGCUGGAAAGGAAUUUAGUUGAAGUAGGAACCAAAAUUCAACUUAGAUGGAUCUAUAAAAUUGGUCAUUCAAUACAUAAGUACUUUAUCAACAGAUUCAACACAUUAUAAAUUUAUGGAUUCAACUAAGUUACAACCAGCUGCAACUUAUUCCUCUCACAUAAACAAUAAUACAGCGGUAGGCUAUAUUAUUUACAAAAAGUACUUAUGUAUUGAAUGACCAAUUUUAUUACCUGCAAAAUUAAUUAAUCUUUCACUCUAUCAUCUAACUAAUGGAAGGCAAUCUUAUUUUAGGUUGUAAUGAUUAGAAACUAGCAGGAAGUGGGGGCGAUGCUCCAUAUUAAUUUGGAUAAAUCCCUUUCUAGUGAAGAAGUUAAAAUUAUAAAAUAGAGAUCAAGAUAGAAAUUUAAAGGCCCCGAUUGUUUUUUACAGACUUAAAAAUGAUAUUGAAAAAUUAAAAGCUAAUUUUAGUAUUUAAAAAUUACUUUAAGAAAAAUCACCCUAUCUUCCUGUAAAUUUUGAAAAGCAUGAAAAGAGCAGUUUUUCAAAAAUUGAUUUCGAAAAUUAGUUUCAUACUUAAUACAAUUCCAUAUAUCCUAACAUUUAUUAUAAAAAUUCAAAUUAUCCUUAUUAAAUUAGGAAAUAAAGUCAGUACAUUUAAAUAAGAGUGAUGAUAUAGACACAAACUCUUGUACCAACUGACGUAGCAUUAAUUUAUUAGUUGAAUGAAAAUAUAAAAUAAUAUAAAUAAAUCAUGUGGGCCAAGAAAUAUUUAAUUUAACCAAUUUUAUCAUGUCACAUUAUAAGCAACUUAUAAACUCAUUGGAUUCGACUCUUUACUAAAAUAAAAAUAAAUUAAUAUAUAUAUAUAUAUAUAUAUAUAUUUACAUACAUAAAAUGUGAUUAUAUACACAUAUUUAUAAUUGAAUAUGUACAUAAAUUCUGUAGAUUUAUGUCUAUCUAUACAUUUGCAUUCUUACCACAUUUUAAAAGUGUGAUUUACCAAAUACAUGGGACUUAUUUGAAAUUUAUAGCACUUUUAUAAAUAAAAUUUAUCAAACGUUAAACAGAUUCUCUAUUUUCGCGUAUAUAUCCUCAUGUAAAUUAUAAAAAUUCAAAAUUAUCUUUAUUCAAUUAGGAAAUUAAAUCAUUAUUUUUAAAGAGAUUCUUAUUAUUACUAAUUAGAUUCAAAUAACCAAAAAAAUACAAUCAAUAAAAUAAAAAUAUUUAUUUUAGUUAUCAUUUAUUAUAUACACAUAUUUAUAAAUGCAUGUGUAAAUAAAAUUUUAUAGAUUUAUGUCUAUUUAAGUUAUUUGCAUUCUUACAACAUUUAAAAAAUGAGAUUUACUAAACACAUGUGAUUGUUUUUAAAAAAGUUACAACACUUUUAAAAAUAAAAUUUAACAAAUGUUUAAUUGACUCUCUCCAAAGGUAAUUGUUUUUACAGUAUAGCUAAAGUAAUUUAUAAAUUUAUGAUAAGUAUUUGUGAAUAUUGGUCUAUGUAAAGAAGUAAAAACAACAUAUAUAUUAAGCAGCAUGAUAUUAAAACUCUUAGUAAAAUACAUAUACUAAUAAAAGAAAGACAACAAUGCAAUAAAUAAGCUUAUAAUAUAAAUUAUUAAAAUUGUAUAUUAAAAAAUUAUGCAUGAAAUUCUUUUUCUAUUUUGGUGAUAGAGAAUGCGAUAUAAUUGAAUUAUUUGAUUUAAUAAAAAAAAAAUAUGACUGUGAAGGAAAUUAACAAUUGAAUUGUGGAAUGUUAUUAAUUGUUAUUGUAUCAUUUUGCAACGUUCUAAUAAUAUGGACAAUGUUACAGUAUAUUGAUGGGCGGUAAUAUUUUCACCUCUUAAAUUGUGUAAAGUCAGCUCCAUUUAAAAAAAUUAUAUAUAAAAAGCCCAUUAGUUUUAAUAGUUUCAAAUUAAGAUUAAAUGCAAAUAAUUAACCAAUUAAAUCCUUAUUAAUAAGAUCAUUGAGCUUUAAUUAAACUAAUAAAAUGCAUUUGAUAAAUGAAAUUUACGAUAUUUAAUUACAUGAAAUUUAUUGACUACAUGAAUAAUAUAAUUGUUCAGCUGUUUAAACUUUUUCCCUAUUUAAAUUUUAAAAAACAAUGUGAAAUUUUGUAAAUAGUUCUUUGAAAUGGGGUGGAUUUACACCAUUUGUGCAGUGCAAAUAUCCUAAUUCUAACAUUUUUUUUAAAAAAAAAGACCAAAUCAUAACAUUUUUUGUAUACUAAGUUAAAGUAGUACUAACAUUAUAGCCCCCUAAUGAUUUCAAUUCAUUCAAUGAAUAUAUAAUUUAAGCAUGUUAUAAACUAAGUCUCUAAAUCGAAUUAAAAAAAGAAAAAAGAGCUUAAUUGCUGACAUAGUUGAAAAUAAAAUAAAAAAUUUUAUUAUUAGAUGAAAAAUUAUGAAACUUAAGGGGUAUAAGCGAGUCGGCAGCUGCUCACCAGGGCAUAUGUAAUAUUUGUUAAUACAUUUCAAAAUUUUAGGUUUUUUAAUAAUAUUUUCAAUACAUUUUCUAGAAGGUUUAGAAAAAAAAAAUGACUCAAUACUUUAAUCGAGCUAUGAAUAAACUCAUGUGUUAAAAAAUUUCAUAUUUACACCCAAUAAGAUUAAUUAAUGGGUGAUACAAAUUUAAGAUAGUUAAUAAUAAUAUAUAUCAUCUUAAGUUAACUUCAACUCAUUAACCUUGUAUAAGGUUUGAUGGGUCGUGCCGCAAAUUAUCACCUCUAAUCCUUUUUGCAACAGGCAUGAUGAAUGCUAACAAAAUGAAACUUCUAUAUAUUUAGUUGUUAUUCUUUUUAAUGAAAUAAUAAGGAGCUUUGCUGCAAAUUUCCAUCCAGCAUGGCAUGGACGCACGUGAAAUUUGCUAGUAUGGUCCUGGACAUGCGUGGCUGAGAUGCUUCUAAAGGCAAAGAAUUCCAAGUUCAUACCAAAUAUAACUUUCUGAUAUUUUUGUGGUAUCAAGUUUGUUUUUCACAAACUAAGGUGUCGGCGUAAAGUUGUUGUCCAUGCAAUGAAGUUUUAUACAUAAAUAUAUUAACCUAAAUUGUUACUAAAGUUCCAUAAUUAGCAGUUCCUGAGAGUUUUUACUAUAUAUUUUUUUGUUUUAAUUCAACAUAUGUUUAUUUAAUACGAUUUUAUUAAAUAAAUGUGCAUAUUUACCAUAUUUGUCUACGAUCAAUUAGUUGGAAAAAAAAAAGAAAAUUAAUAAAUUUAUUUAUUUGAUUGUUAAUGGUUUAGGCAUUUGAAUUCCCACAAAGUCAGGGUGUCAGCUCUGGACUUCUGGUGAUGUAUUUUUCUAAUAAAGAAAUAAAAUAUUGUUGUCAUUUUUUUAAUAUUCUAAUUUACCAAGCCUACCAACCAAUUAAUUUUUCUAAUUAGAUCAUUAAUUCAUUACACGUGCAUUCGCUGGCCCAGUGCUCCAAUCCCAUGCAUGCUGCACAACUCAAUGUGUUUUAAUAAGAAAAGGUUUGGUUAGCCUGUGCUGAUGCCAGAAGCCCCUUAAGGAGUUCAGGUAAACGUAAAUAUGUCCAGAUUUAGAUUUGAAUAUGUAAACGUAAAUAGGUCCAGAUUCAGAUUCGUUGCGCUAGAGAGGGGCACGCACGAUCGGGCUGCUGUCAGGUGGUACGUUGGCGUGGCAAUUCUCAACACGCGCUUCUCCUGGUGCAUACUUACGGCAAGUUGACACGUGACCCGUGUGGAUUGAGUGGACAGAGUCACGGGCACUGAUUUUUGUCAUCCAUAACGACUAACGUCGGAGACUUCGAGAAGAAAGAAAUUGUUGUCGUUUCUAAGGGGAAAAAAAUAUUUAAUUUGUUGAAGACAAAUUAACGUCGGAGAUUUUUUUUAUUUUUUAUUUUUAAUUUUGCAAUCUAAACCAGUCUAAUCAAAAUGUCAAUUUGACAAAAGUUGGACUGAUUUAGAUUAGUUCUAUUAGUUUGAUUGGAUUAAAUUGAAUUAGAUCUUGAACAUCCUAACACUUUUCAUGAAUGUUUUCCUUUUUUUUUGAAAAAAAUUAAUAAGGAGAAUUCCCAUGAAUGUUAAUUUUAUUGAUAAACUUGGCAAUUUUAAGAAAUGUUUUGACGCACGAAUAAUGCAAUUCAUCAACCCACAUAGAUAUGGAUAUAGGAAGCAGAGACCAGAUCGAUCUUGACAUAACGAAAACUUGUAUGUGUAUAUGUAUGUUACAGACCAGAUCGAUCUGUAGCAUAGACUUCUCCUAUAUGUAGGUUAUAUUCAAAUUACAAAAUGAACACAUGUUAAGGAUCUACAACUUCUUCUUUAAUCUAAUAAGCUCCCUCAACUUUAUUCCAAAACAAAAAAGAAUCAAAUUUUUGUUGGAAAUAUUUAUGAAUGAAGAAGCAAAAAGCGCUUGUAUCAAGGAUCUAAUUAAAGAACUGCCAGAGGCAUAGAUCUAUCAAAGCUCCCUCGCAUGACUCUUGGUCUCGGUGGCUUCUUCUUCUUCAUUCCGAAUUUUCCCUCCAUCUGAUCUCUUCCAACCUUUCCAUUUCCAAAUUGAAUUGAAACUUGCCUCAUAUUCGUUUGUUGAAUCCCAUCUUUUGUUGCACCACCAUGCAUCAAAAUCCUUGAAAUCCCAGCAUAAUGCAAGGACUCAGCUAUUUGCAAUGGGGUCACGUUCUUACUUGUCCUUGCCUCAACAUCAGCUCCCUUCUUCACAAGCAAUUCAGUCACAUCUGUGUGGCCAGAUUCCACCGCACAAUGCAAAGCUGUGUACCCAUCUUCAUCUUUAGCAUCAACAUCAAUCCCUUUAUCAAUCAGAAUCCUCACAACCUCAAUCUUUCCCUUAAACGAAGCCCUAUGCAAAGCAGUCCAUCCAUGUAGGUCUUUCCCAUUGAUCGCGGCGCCUGCUUCGAUCAACCUCUGCAUUGUCCUCACUUCCCCUUUCCUAGCGGCAAUACACAGGCUGUCACCAAGCUUCAACGCGUCAAAGAGACGGGAGUGACCGCACUCAGCAGCAACAUCAUAAGCGGUCUUUCCGCUCUUGUUUCUAAUAUAUUUAUUAGCACCCUUCUGCAAUAACAGCUUCACCAUUUGCUCAUAUCCCAAGCUUGCGGCGAUAUGCAAAGGCGUGUCACCGUCUCUAGCGUUGCGUAUAUCAGGCCUUGCUCCGUUUGCUAACAGAAGUCUCGCGCAAUCUCUUCUUCUGUCUUCAACCGCGAGAUGCAGAGCUGUGUUACCAUCUUUUGUUAAAGCAUUGACAUUAGCACCUUUGAUUAAGAGAAGCUUUAGUACUUCCAAAUGGCCGCCUCGUAAGGCCAAGUGUAUGGGCCCCCAUGUUGAUGUUCCUGAUCUUUCUGUGCUGGCUUUCCUCGCCAACAAGAGCUCAACAAUAAGUGCUUCCCCUGCAGCCGCCGCGGCUUCAAGUGGAGUACUGCAGCCACACCUGCCUUGAGACUCAACAUCCGGCCCAAACUCAAGCAAAAGUUGAACAAUAUCAGGCCUCCUUUGAGCUAUAGCAAUAUGAAGCAACGUUUGUCCCUGCGCAUCGGCAGAAUCAGCCGGGUUCCAAGCCGGGUCACUCCGCUCAAGAACCUCUCUUAAAUCAUCCAUUUCACCAUCCUUAACAAGCAGAACCAAAACAGGAGACCCAACGAACAUGAUCUUGAUUCCGCUGUCGAUGAACACUUGCUUCUUCCUCGUUGUGAACCAGUCACUGGGGACGGAAUCAAGCGUCGACGUUGCAUCUUUAAUUCCAGCUCCAGGAACAACAACGCUGUGCAAGAGGAAGGAAUCAUCACAGUGAGGGAAAGAAUCAGGAAGAACCGAUCCUGGAGGGAGAUGAUACGCAAUCUCUACGCUUAGUGUUGCGAGUGGUGAUAUGAUUCCUGAUUGCGGCUUCACAGUAUAACGAGCCUUGUUUGUAGGCUGAAUCCUGAAAGCAACAGGCAUCGUGUGCAUGACAUUGCGGAGAGUCAGCUCCCCGGAACAUUUCUGCCCUGGUUCAAUUCUGAUAGCUACAAGGUUCGACGGCUCCAAGCUUACAAGCCUAUCCAUUGAUUAAUUUUCUCUCCGUUUCCCAAGGACUGCUGAAAGGGGUUCUUUGAACUUUUUGAUUCAGGCUUAUUUUCUUCACUUUUGGUGGCAUGGGGAGGAAUUAGAGGAGUAACUGUAAGAGCUGCAAGUGUUGGUGUAAUCAACUGUAAUAUAAGGAGAAGAGAGGGCCGGCUCUAAUGGGAGACUGCCACGUGGUGGUGUUAAAAACAAUGAGACUUGUUCUGUUCGGCGUCCGGAGUGUAUAUACAGUUGUGUUAGUGGUGAAAGUUAAAGAAAUCCUGAAGUUAUUUUCGGAGUGGCUUCUGCAAAGUCACUUUCAGGAUUGUAUUGUAUCAUUAAAAAACAAAGCCAGUUUUUGUUGUUCUAGUAAAAGGCGAAUCAUUGGACAAACUCGUAAGAAUAUGUUGCCAAAUGUAUAAAAUAUGAAAUUCAAACAAUGAUUACAAUGUGAAAUUGGACAAUGGACAUGGCCUGUGUGAAUUGUUUUGUGGGCUUACUAAUUAAAUUAAUUCACUAAAAAUAAUGUCACUUUUGUGUCUGUGAAGAAGCCGAAAUGGCACAGUCAUUUACGUGGCCAACUACGGUGACUACUUCGUCAGUAGCUGCUCGAGCACUUGGUCAGCACAAGUUGCUUUCUUUCUUGGCGGGAUUAGUUUUUCUUCAUUGCUUUAAGUGGUGCAUUUCUGCAGUUUCAUUUUGCUUUGCUUAUGCCAUUGGAUUUGUGCCCCAUAAAUAAAUAUAUAAUUAAGCGGAAAAGUAUCAAAUUUUGAAAAAGCUUAGGUUUUGUGUGUGUGUGUGUGUGUGUGUGUGUGUGUGUUUUAAGCCGAAUUACUCGGCUAAAAAUUAAUCCGAUUAUUAUUGUUUUGGUGCUUAAGAUGUGACUCUAACCUAAAGCUCAUUUGAACUCUCUUGAUGCUCAUAUGGUAUUUUUUGUGUUGUGUCGUGCUGGCCCUUACACAUCUCGGCUCAUAUUUUUCAUGUUACUAAGUUCUAAUAUGUACAAAAGAAAUAGAGCAAUGUCCGGUGGUAGAUCCAAACACUCAAUUUGGGGUGCUUAUUUUUCAGUCUCAAAUUCGAUUAUUUUCUUUUAAAAUAUUAAAAUAAUAGUAAUAAAAUACUUAUUUUAAAUACUGAGCUCAUUACAACCACAUAUGUAAAAGUAUCAUUUAUAUUUUUUUUCUAAAUAAUCUUCACAAAAUAUUUUAAAAAAUAAAAUUAUGUGACUAUGGGGAUUUGAACCAAGUCUCUCAAACUACUAAAUAACACUUUUACCACUAAAUUACAAAUCUUUUAACAUAUUAAAAGUGCAUCCAAAUUAUUAUUAUUAUUUAAUUAUUUCAUAAGAGAUUUGGGGCACAUUUAAAAGAAAAAAAAUUAAUGGUGCAUAAAGGACUAAAGCCUCUCUUGAGUCCUUGACCUUAACUAGGUCCACCCAUGGUAAUGUCAGUGAUACCCAACUUGAAAAAUAUACAAGAAACUUGGAAAUUUAAAUUAAUGAAUAAAUAAAUAAAUAAAAGGAAACUUAGUGAUUGUAGCUGUUGUAUUGUAUUGUGGAUCAAAGAAUUACAAGUUCUUGGUUUCUCGGUAUUGGCUAAUUUUGAAGUUAAAUGAAGUUCGAAAAUAUUUACAAGCAAUAAAAUUAUCAACUGAAUGAGACAAGGAAAGAGUAUAAAGACCUUAGCAAAUUAGCAAUCCUUCUUUAAUUUAGUAACAGUGACGCUUAUAAAGUUAGAAGACGUAUCAAAUCUAAUUUAGAUUUUGCCCCAUAAAACUAACUUAACUUAUAGUGCGUCUUUGUUUAAUUAGUAAAUAUUCCACAAAAACUGAUCAGCACUUUAUAGGAAAUUCCAAACACGUUUAUAUUCACAAGGAAUAUGUCAAGGAGAAAUGAGAAUAAAAAAAUGUAAAAACUAAUAAAGCUUCAUUAAUUAGAAUUUAUAACCAUAUGUGCUCCUAUACUACUUUUAUUAUUAAGAAUUUGAAGUAGAAGGUAGUUGAUUAUCAUGAAAUUACAAAAUUGUAAACGGAUUUGUUCUUUUGGAAAAAGAAAAAAAAAAAAAAAGGAAGGAUAGUUGAUUACUUGAUUAGUGAGAAAUCAUACGUAUAAAGGACAAAUUGAAAAAUGGGACCUGAAUUGCAACAAAGCUUCAUUGGAAUUAACUGCCGAUAAAAUUAAAUUAGUAUCACCCUACCCUUUCAUCUUAAUAUAUUCGAAAUUUCACCGAUCAAAGUUUCUAGCUUCGAUUUUUACGAUCUCUCAUCCUAAUAACACCAAAAGCAUAUUCAUUCGUUUGUAAGAUUAUGUAACAAAAUAUAGUAAAUAGCCUAUAAUUUUUUUGUUUUACUACUAACCUGUUAUCAUUCUUUUCUAAUAAUACAUGUUAAAAUAUUCACAGAAAAAAUUUAUCCCUAUUACACCCAACCACCUUUUUUUGUGUUUUUUUUGUUCAAAUUUUAGCAUUAAAGGGACAAUAAUGUCCUAUGAAAUAUGCAGAAAGACAGUUAAUAAUAUUCAAAAAUGUAAGUGGAGGUAUCUUACGCCACACACACAAAUUACACGACUCUCAUUAAUGUGUUGUUGUUGUUAUGUGUGGCGUAAGUUACAGUUGAAUGUCAUAUUCAAAAAAGUAAGUGGAGGUAUCAAUCUCCCUAAAUAAAUAAUUUAUGGAAGGUUGUUAGCUGUUGUACUUUUAGUUAAUUUUAAAAUCACAAUAAUAUGGUUAAUGUUAAGUUACAUGCAUGUAACUUAGGAGGAUCCCAAUAAUAUACCAUAUUUUAUUAAUAUGUACAGUAUUUAUAAUAUUUAAAAAUUAAGGAAUUAAUGUACGCAUGUAAAAGCUGCAUUGGAGCCAGUUGGAAAUCUUACUGUCUUGAUAUAUGCAACGAUUGUAGCAGCUAAAAAGGCAUGAUAUUUACUUAAUAUUAUUUCAAACAAUAAUUAUUUAUUUAAAGCAAAUAAUAAUAAUGAGGGCAGAAGGACUAUUCUAGGAUCAAUAUGGUGACAGUAUAAAUAAAUAAUAUUAAUUAUUAAUGCAUUGAUGAGUAUUGUUAAAAUGACAUAAUAGGUUUGUUUCAUUGAAUUGAACCUUUUCUCUUAAAAUAGCUAUAAUUUGUUCUCUCUCUCUCUGUGUUUUUGUUUUUGUUUUUCACUUUAGUUUUACUUCUCUUAAAAAACCAAAAAAAAAAAAACAAAAUUAAUGGAAACUGAUGAUGGGAAGACGGACAAUUUUCUAUAUUGUUAAAUAGAAAUGGGCACAAAUGUGAGUUUUUUGGGGCAAAAAAAUAUAGUCAAUGUACGUAGCGUUUGUCUAUUUGAAAACCCGUCAAUAUAAAAACAGGACGUAAAGCUUUCAGACAAAGUACUCUUAUGGCCGUACUUUCCAUAAACCAAAUCAAAAGAAGGAAAAUAUUUGUGUCUGGCUUCGAUGCGACUGUUAACAUUCACAAAUAAACACCUUUGCAUGGUCAGAAAAAUUAACAAGAAAUUAGAAGGCGAUGUUGCGUUCUACUUAGUUCUCUAGGAUUUGUGUCAUUUGUUUAUGCUACGGUUCGUUCCCAUUUGCAUUGCGUGGAAUAAUUGGCCGAAUAUUAUUAAUCUCAAUCUUAAUCUCUCAACUCUUGUCCCUUUAAUUUUUGUUUGUAUCUUUUUCUUUUUUUUUUUAAAUAUCACAUACAAUGCUUUUAAUAAAUAACUUCAUAGAAAUAUUUAAUAAAAUCCAACAUAUAUAAGUUCAAGAAACUCAAAAAAUAAAAGAAAAUAAACUCACGUUGUCACUGGAGAGACUCAAACAUGCUACCUUAAAAUUAAGUAGAGGGUGCAACUACUUGCACUUUAAAAAAAGAAAAGAAAAAAAAAGGGGCUUUGAACGCUCGUGAUAAUUUGCAAGUUAUGGAGGAUAAUCAUUGUACAAUGGGGAGAACUCUUAUGGAACAAUAUUCAAACUGAUAUUGAAAGCAUAUAAGAAUUUGGCUUGGGUGUUUUGGUGCCAUGAAUGAGUGCAGAAACAAAGAGGAAGCUUUGUCCCUUUAAUUUGAUCUGCUGUAUUAUAAUUAUUGAGAUUAAUCAAAUAAAUAACCGAAACAUGGUUACAGUUUUAUAGUGUAUUGCAAGUCUUUGGAGAUACUAUGUACCUCAAAAAAAAAUAUCGUAUAAAAGAGUGUUUUGUUUCACAGGGGUUCAAUGAGAUUUGAGAUGGCUGUAAUGAAAGUGAUGUAAAUUUUUUGGACUCUAAUGAGGUGUUUUUAGAUGGAGGGGGAUUUACAAGUAUUUUAUAGGGGUGAUAAAUGACUGUAUACCCACCAAAAAGGCCCAUUGUUCGAGUCCAUGAGCAUUACAGUUUUUUUUUUUUUUUUUUUUGAAAUUCAGAACAUGCAGUUUGUUUGAUUCAACUUCCGAAUUACAAAAUUAGAAUAAGAAAAAAAAAUGUGGAUGUUUUUUCUUUAAUUUACAUAAUAAUACAUGGUGUGGACGAUGUCUAUUGAGGGAUAAAAGAGGAAUGGGGGCACUGUGAAGUUUGUGUUUUUGUUUUUUUUAAAUUAUCAUAUUCAUACUGUCUAUAAAAAUAUGCAAGUUAAAAAAUUACUCAUGAUAUUGUUGUUUUUGUUUCAUAUAAUACUACUUAUGCACAUCGCCUCAUGCAAACAUUUCUUAGUUAUGCUUAAAAAAAUGAGAUUCUCACCAUGGGUCACUGUAAAAAUCCACAGAAGCCGUGGAUCACAGUAGGAAGCCCACUUGAACAGAAGAAGCUACCGAAAGCUUCGACAUUGUAUUUAUGAAAUGCUUAGUAAAUUUUGUUUUAUUUUGAAUUUAUAUUAUAAAUGGUGUGUUGCUAAAUUAAAAAAUAAAAAAGAAAUGCAAUGUGUCAAAAUACAAGAAUCUUACGGACAUUUUUGUCACAAUAUAUGUAAAUAAUUCAUAUCUUAUUCAUAUCCUAUGUAAGCUUCACUUGUUUAACACAAUGGUGGUUGAAUCUUCAAAAAUUCAUAAUCUUAAACAACCAAAUUUGGAAUUAAUUAAGCAAAUUGCCUCUAUAAAUUGAUUACAACAACCAACGACGUGUGAAGCCACAUGUCAAUUUCCCUAGACAGCCCAAAUAUUGAGGCGCUGUGAGGGAGCAAGGUGCAAUCGGAUGGGGGAAAGAGAGAGAGCCAAUGGUGAGAAUGGAUCGUGGUGAGGGAGAACCAACUGGUGGUGAGAUUUGUGGCUUCAAUGAGGUGAGUUUCGUGGCGCUGUGAGUGAAGUGAGAUUUGGCAUGAGUGUGAGGGAGAAUGCGUGUGUUGUGUGAGUGAGGUAAGCUGUGUCUGUUGUGUGCAUGGAGACUCUCACCACAAUUAGAAUUUAUAGUUAGCACAGAACGAAACACAAUAUUCUACGCUAACUGUGGAGUUAACCAUGGUGAGAAUAUCAUUAUUGUUUAUUAUAACACUUUUUUUUUUAAUUUGUUUUGACAAUAAAAUAAAGAACCUUGUAAGAAAACCUCAAUAACUCAAUUAAAAAACCAACUCAACCGAUGAUAGGUAAAUUGAGAAAUUUUCAACUAAAAAUUAUUAAGAUUGGUUUUAACUUCAAAUCAUAGUCACAUAGUUUUGUCCUUAUAAAGAUCAAAAUAAUGAAUUCUAACUCCGAAGUUUUUAGAUUUAUGUGACGAACUGACGAUAGUAUAUUGAAAUCGAUUGAAAUGAAAAAUUUAAUUAAAUGCAAUUCAAGAUGUAGUAUCAAAUUCAAACGAUUCGGAUUGUUUUAAAAAUUUCAAUGCUUUAAUCUAAAUCGAUUAAUCAAUUACACUCUUGCAAUUAUAUACCGUUAAAACUAAAAUAUGUAAAAUUUAGGGUGCAUUUAUUACCAUUUUCAAUUUGUUGUUUUUCGUUUUAUGAAAAGGAAAAUACAGAAAACUUGUUUGGUGAGCUCAUAUUGGUGGAAAACUGUACAGUGAUUAAAAACAAAAAAAAAUUCAUUUUUCAAUGUUUACAAAGGAAACAAGAAAACGCUAUUACACUGGGUUCUCUAUUUUAUUUCACUUUUACUCUCUGCCAAGGCCCUACCAUCUUAACUUUUAUAACAUGGUGUAAUAAAUUACGUGGGCCCAUUUAAUAAAGAAAUAAUCUAAUAAAUAAAUUAUUAUAACAAAUAUUUAAAAAUAAUAGCAUUCCAUACCUUACAGCUUAAUUACUUAAUAUAUUACCCAAAUUAUUUUAAAUAAAAAGUGAUAUCAUAUAAUUAUUAUACUAAAUUAUUACAUUGUUCGACCAAUAUGCAGUUAUUUAAAAAUUACUACAAACUUUCUUACAUAUAUUAAUGAAAAUAUAUCAAUAAUAAAGUUACAUCUUGACAGUUAAUAUAAAUAAAUAUAUGAUAAUUAUGAAAUAAUUAAAGAUUUUCUCAAUUAAUAUUAUCUUAUAACUACAAUUUAUUUACAUAAUUAAAAGUUUUUAAGAAAUUAUUAAAAUAUCUUCAAACCUAUAUGCAUUUAUAAUAAUAUAUAAUACAUCAUAAUAUAAUAACUAAAUAGAUAAAUUAUUUAUUAAUAUAAAAUAUAUGUUUAUAUUCAUUAUAUAAUAUUAUUCUUUCAUAGUAGUUUCAUUAAAUAAUUCUCUACUCUCUCUCUUUUUAUCUUUAUUUUUUCGGACAGACAAGUAACCAAACACCGCUUCACCUUUUUUUUAUUUUCAAAUACUAUUCUUAAAAUAAACUACCAAACAUAUUUUUAUUUUUAACAAAAACUAAUCAUUUUUAUUUUAUAAAACAAAUUGAAAAGUACUAUUUAAAAUAUAAUACCAAACUUACCCUUAAUAAUUUUAUAUUUGUCAAAAAGAUGAGAAGCUAAGUGGCACUAUCGUUUACCUAUUCAAACUAAACGUGGAGUCACAAUAUUGAAGACACUUUGGUGGCCACAACACUCUUUUCUUUAGUACGGAACAAUCUGGCUUACAUGACACUACAUAAAAAUAAAUAAUAAAAAAUCACCGAUUCCAACUGCCCCGGACAAAAAACAGGCCACACGUAAAAAGGCUUCUAUUUUUAUUUUUAUUUCUCCCCAUUUUAAAGAUGACGUCAUGGUGAUUAUGAAACCAGAAAAUAACAAAUUUUAGUUGUCUGAUUUUGUAGUUAUCCAGCGAAAACUAAAAAAACAGUGAACGCAGCAGCAGAUCUCCGUGUUUGUCGUCGUUCGAUGAGAGAUUCCGAUUCGUGAGCAUCGCAAGUGUUGAAAUGGAAUCAGACGAAAUGAGGAGUUAGCCUCUUAUUAUAUAAUAAUAAUAAUGAUAAUAAUAAUAAUAACUAAUCUCUUUUAUCAUAUAAUUGAUAAUGGAAAUUCACAUUGACAAAAGGCAAAUUACACACUGACUGGGCAGAAUAAAAAACAGUCUCUCUCAAAAGCAAUAAUUUAAACACUAACACCACCUUAAGGAGACACCCCAAAAAUAAAGCAGCAAGCUCUUACUGUGACCACACACACACACACACACCAAACUUUUAUUAUAGAAUAAAUCUAAGAUGAUGGAUGAUGGAUGCGUCACAUAAAAGUUAAUUAAUUUAAUCGCUGUCACUGCUGCUGCUGCUCUCGUGUCCGUCCUCGUGCUUCUUCUUCUUCUCCUUCUUUUUCUUCUUCUCUUCACCGUGGGCGGCGCCCUCGCCGCCGCCGACACCGGGGAUCUUCUGCUUGAUCUUGUCCACCAAGCCCUCCUUGUGUUCGCCCUCCUUGUGUUCCCCGCCGUGAUGCUGCUGCUGAUGGUGAACAUCAGUAGUGCCGACACCGGGGAUCUGCUGCUUGAUCUUGUCCACCAAGCCCUCCUUGUGUUCGCCGCCGUGAUACUGCUGCUGAUGGUGGACAUCAGUAGUGUGGUGGUCCCCACUAUGGUGCUCUCCCUUGUGCUUGUCCUCCUCCUUUUGCCCUCCUCCCAUGUGAAGGGCUUCUCCGAUCUUGUGAAUAACUCCUGACAUUUUCCCUUAAAAUGACUCUGUUCCUCUUCUUUUCUUUUCAAUGAAAAAUAGUUGUUUGCGAUCUUCUUCUGGUUGUUGUUGUUCUUGUUGGGUGAUCUUGGCUUGGUAUUUAUAGGCUCCAAAAGGAGGGACUAGAAUUAGGAUUAGAUUAUAGAUUAUUUUAAUACAUUUUAUGGCAAAUUCUGAUUUGGAAAGAUAAGAUUAUCCUUUUGGUUUUCCUUAUUUACCCUUUUGCACCCAUUACGUGUACGCGUCUUCGUGGGCUUUUUGGGUAUUUCAAUUAUAUCGCCAAUGCUAAAUCGACACGUUGCAUAUCAGCCGCGGUACUGCCGUAUGUAGUUGUCCAGAAAUCGAGUCGAUUCUCGAUCGUACAAUAAUUAAAUAAUAUUUCAUACGAAAUGAGUUUAGAUAUAUUUUGAAAAUUUAUUUUUAAUUUAAUUAUACGUGUUAUAUAUUUGUUAAUCGAAUAGAGGUCCCACGUAACAGAGUGUUUCUCUAAUCUUUCAUUGCUUUUAAUUAAUUUUACCCAAAUAAAAAAAAAAAGGAAAAUUUAGAGAGAGAGAGAGAGAUAGCGAAUUAGAAGUUGAUUGUAAUAUCGACACCUGUCAGACAAUCAAAUAUCGUUAGUUAAAAAUCAGUUGUCCAUAGUCAUGGUCAUAGAUGGCGAAAUUGAUACUUAUUUUAAAAAACAAAACAAAACAAAACGAAACGAAACUAAACUAACAGAUGUUGAAAUGCAGUUCCGUGUUAACAGUCUGUGAUGAAUCUUUAUCUUUGAGUAUACCAUUCAAGAAAUUAUCAUUCAAAAAUUUAUUUAAAGCAGCAGCAAAUCACCUUCUAAUUCCUGAAUCAAAUUAAUUCGAUUUUUUUCGAGUCGAUCAAUUCAUUAGAGAAUUAACGGGCUAAGUUAAAGUUUUGUUAGUUAUUUUUUUUUAUAUUCCUUUAGAUGAUAUGAUUGUCAUUGUCUUUCUUUCUCUGGGCAACAAUAAAUACAAGAUGUGCAAAAGCGUAGUGGAACAUAAUUCGAUUAUGGGUAAAGGGAUCAGUCCGCAUAAUGAGGAUAAAGUUUUUCUCUUUAAAAAAAUUUAACCCAAAGAAAAGGUCGUAGUUUGUAAUAGCCGACACGCAGAUAGAUCACAAAGCAUGGCGGUCCUGAUGGCAAUAACUAACUGAUAUCUUCUGCGAUGAGAGGAGAUCACGUGGUUCUGACACGUAUCGCCCCAUCAACUGAUGUUGUGGCUGCAAUCGCGGCCCAGUCUUUAGAGAGAAGAAAGAUCUGUUAUAACGGGACCUACUUUAGCAUCUAUUUACGACAAAGCCCCUAUUUACUCUACUUAGUAGUAAUAAUAGCAAGUGUCGGGCUUGGAUUCCGUGUUGCUUUAAAUAAAUAUCCGCGUAAAAAGAAAAUGCUUCUUUAAUCCCUUCCUUGUAAUUUUUCGACACGUGGAUGGUUGAAAUUAGCGUGCCGACAUCUUAGGAAUUUUAUCUUGGAGACGGGAACACUGCAGUAGGCAAUGCCAUUUUCUUCGGAUGGUGUGUGGUGACAACGCCUUGGAUUUUGACGUGCAAAGAAUUUAAAUUGAAAAAGAAAAAAAGAAAUUACCAGAAUAAGCAUAGAAGAGAUAUUUUUCUUUUUGUCCUUUUUGGAAUGGAAAAAGAGAUCAAGAGAUUGUUCCAGUAAGUAUUACACAUGUCACAGGCUUAUUCAUGCCCCAUUAUGGCAACUUUUAUGCCUCGCGGUGCCCUCGGUUCCAGCAUAAUAGCUAAGACUUCAAUUUUUCUAACAUAUUUUUGUUACAAAUAUGAACGGAGUAAAUGUAUAACUUUAAUCCUUUGAAUAAAGAAAUGGCGGUUCUCCUGCUCGUUAAUCUCACUUGAAUCCCACCCAGGCAAAAUUUCUUUAUUUUAUUUAACAACAAUUUAAAGAAAGAAACUUUUGCCAGGUUGAAUUUCAAGUGAGAUUCAUUCGUGGGAGAAGUGCCAUUUCUUUAUUCAAAAGAUUAUGGUAAUUACAACUUUCAAUUUCGACAUAAAUUAAAAUUAUAGGCUAUACAAUAAAAUUGCCCUAAAUUAGUCCUAAUCAAUUCAGAUUAUAAAUUUAGGUAUAUUUAUUAUUUUAAUAUAUUAAUGUUCUAUAUAUAUAUAUAUAUAUAUAUAUAUAUGUGUGUGUGUGUGUGUAUNNNNNNNNNNNNNNNNNNNNNNNNNNNNNNNNNNNNNNNNNNNNNNNNNNNNNNNNNNNNNNNNNNNNNNNNNNNNNNNNNNNNNNNNNNNNNNNNNNNNNNNNNNNNACAGCAGAAAAUAUUUGCUAUGGAUAAGGAGACAUGGUCCCACGUCCCACCGUCCCAAUGCAUAUUUUGUAUGUUUCCAUCUUUUCUGAAAUUUUAAUAAAUAAAGUUUUUUGACCACUUGGCCAAAGAACCUUACCCUUACACAACUUUGUGGUUGGAGUCCUGUGAUACAUGUAAGAACUUAUUUUUUUUCUUAAUUAUAAUAUUUUAGAAUAUAAUUAAGUGAAGUAGGUUUUUUUUUUAAAUAUGAGUAAAAUAGAUAUUUUUUAAAUAUUAAAGAGAGUAAAAUUUGAAUAAUAAUAUAUUAAAAUUAAUACAAACUAAUUUUAAUAAUUAUUUAAUUAUAAAUAUCAAUUAUAACAUCAUAUAAUAUCAAUUAUAAUAUCGUACAUCUCAAUUAAUUCAAUAAUAAUAAUAAUAAAUGUUUUUUGGGAUAAGUAAACAGUCGCAUGGCGACAAUAGUGGAUCUGGAUUAGAGUGAAGUGGUCCCAAGAGGCUGAGGCUGUGGCUGUGGAGUUCUAAAAGUCAAAAGCUCCACGCACUUUGUUUCAGUACCAUACACACUGAAAAAAUUUGCAUUUGCAAUGACGAAAACUUUUCACGAAAUCAAAACACCUCUAAACUAUUUUGUUAUCGAUAUUUAAUGGAGGGGUUUCCUACCUUUUUAACACUCGAUUCACGCCUUGACGCAUCUCACAGAAAACCUCAUGAUCCCAUUAAUCUUGCGUAACAUAUCUCAAAGCCAAUGCAAGUGAUCUUGUUGCCUACUUCCCUUUGACGAUUCAAAAUUGUUGAAAAUAAUUCUUUUUUUUUUUAACCUCAAGGAAGUGACAAAAUAUAAAAGAAUAUUUUCUACACAUUAAACAUCUAGAUUUUUUUUUCUUUUCUUUUUAGAGUACUUGCACAAACCGUUUCCAAGAGAGACCUUUUUUUUUUUUUUUUUUUUCCGGGCUUGGUUACUAAUUUGGUGUGAAUACUCUAUGGUGAAAAAGGAAUCACAAAGCUGUAAUCAAUUUUUUUGCAUCAUUUAGUUGUAACUUGAACAUUGGGAGGUUUAUAAAGAAUUAAAUUAAUUAUAAUGCCUCUACUAGGAAAAGUUCAGAGUAGCCCUUCACAACUUUUUAAAGGCUUAAUAAUUUUCGCUUUCUUCCUCUCAUAACAUAACAAAAAAUUAAGAGCUUUACUCGUACACGUCCUAUGGCUAUAUAGUAUUGGGUUCUCUACUUCAAUCGGCUAUCUCAAACCGAAGGUUAUUUGGACACACCAGCAGUCACGUUUGGAAACUCUCAAAUGCUUGGAUUGUAAUUCUUGUGGAUGAGAUCAUCUAAAUCUUGGGCCCAAGCCGGACAAUGGGUGGACAAAGAACCCUAAAAUACAGUAAAGCUUCUAACACCCCACUAAAACUCUUAAGAAAUCCUACCUUUUAUUUUUAUAUCUCUUUCUUUUAGAAAUUAUAGAGAAGACAUAGCAUUUUAAUUAUUUUCCCUGCCAUUGAAAAUAAAUUCUGUAAACAUAUUUUUUCAUAAUAAAAUUAUUGUUAUUAGAUAAUUUAUUUCUUCAUUGUUUCAAAAUUAUUAUAAUUUUAUCAACAAAAUUAGUUAUGUCAUAUAUUAGGAUUAAAAUUAAUUAGGAUCCAUAACUUGUAAAGACAUUUUAGUUUAAUUGAAUUCAUAUUUGUCAUUUUAUGUAAUUUUCAAUAAAAAUACGACUAUGAGUGCAAAAGUGGGAUGACAUAAUAUUAAAAGAGUGUGAAAUAAUCGGUAAUUGAAAUGGAUUGAAAUCAUAAUAGAGUAUGAAAAUCAGAAUAAAUUGUUUACUUUAGUUGUAGAAAUCAAAAUUAAAAUAAACCAUAUUAUCAUUGAUGUAUAUAUGUUUUCUUGUAAUCGAAAUGAAUUCUUAUAAGUUACUAUAAGACCCUUAUGGUGUGUUUACUAAUCAGAAAUCAGAAUGGAGUGGAAUUUGAAUAUAGAAUGGUAGGGGUAUUCGCGGAUCGGAUUUUACGGAUUGGACAUUAAUUCAUAUCCGAUCCAUAAUUUUACGGAUUAUAAAUUCUCAACACAAUCCAAAUCCAAUCUAUAUGUUUGCAGAUCGGAUGCGGAUUUGACUCAAUUCAUAUCCAAUCCACUAUUUGACGGAUUGAUUUUGGAAUUAAAAAUUUUUAAUUUUGUCCAAUCUAUGAGGUAAUUAAAUUUAAAAAUCUAAUAUAAAAAUAAUUUAUUAAAUAAAAAAUUAACGUAAAAAUAAUUUUACUACCAAUUAAAUUCAAAAUUGAACAAGAUUUAAAUAAAUUAAUUAUUUAAAUAAAACUAGAAUAAUUUAUUUAAAAUUUUUAAAUAUAACAUAUCGAAAAAAAAUUCAUUUGUUUAGAUUAAUAUAUGAAAAUUAACUAAAAUUAUGAAUUUAAAUGUUGAAAUUUGAGAGCUUGGAUGUAACAGGAAGAAAUUAAGAAACUUGAAGAACUUGAAAAGAAAGUAACAAAUUAAGCUUAACUACCUCUAAUGGUGAAGUGAAACAGUGAUGGUUUGUGCGUGCAAUGGGGUACAAAUUUGGCAUUAUAUGCCAAAAUAUUUUGUUUGGCUUUAGAAUUUUUAAUGUUUAGGAAGCUAUAUUUGUUUAUUUAAUUACUCAAAUAUUUAAUUAUUUUUUAUUUUAUGUUAUUAUUGAAUAAGAUAUAAUAUUGUGUUAAUUUAGCUAUACUUUAAUUAAUUAAUUAAUUUAUUAGUAAGUAGCAUUGCUACAUUUAUAAGUUUUAUUUUUUAUUAAAUAAAUACUUUUUUUUUUCAGAUUCACGAAUUUUUACGGAUUUACAGAAAUAAAUCCAUAUCUAAUCCAUCGACUGUGGUUUUUUAAAUUUUCAUUCCAAUCCGAUCUACCAAUCCACAAAUUAUAUUUUUACGGAUCGGACGAAUUGAGCGGAUCAAAUUGGGUUCUGAACACCCCUAGAGAAUGAGAAUCAAAAUAAAUUAUUUACUUUAGUUGUGUGAAUCGGAAUUGGAAUAAAUUGUACUGUCAUUGAUGUGUUUACUUUAUCUUGGAAUCAGAAUGAAUAAUUUCAAAUUACUAAACUGACCUUAAUUUUUUAUUGUAAUAAUAAUAGUAGUAGUAGUAGUAAUAGUAGUAAUUUUCUAUUAUUAUUAUUAUUUUCUCUCUCUUUUGUUUUUAUUUUUUUAUUUUUCUCUUCUUCUUCUCUUCCUCUUUUUUUAUUUUUCUCUAAUUCAUCGAUACUUCUUCUUCUUCUUUUUUCUUUCGUUUUUAUUUUUAAUUUUUCCCUUCUUUAUCGUUCCUUCUUCUCCGUCCAUUCUCUAUCUUCAAACUCUUUUUACUUUUUCUCUUAUUCUUCAUUACUUCUUCUCCCUUUUUUUUUUUUUUCUCUUCUUUAUUAAUUCUUCUUCUUCUGCGUCUAUUCUUCAUCUUCAAAUUAUCAAGUGAAAAAUACCCACGGUGCCUUACAAGAAGAAUUGGUUUUGUUUGCUUCAAUUAUUUUUUGUAUUUUGUACUUUUGAUUGUUUCAAAAGAGGAUAAACUUGUAAUAAUGCAAUUUAAGUAGGGAUGUUUUAGACAAUUUUGGGUAUGAGAGUCUAAUUCCCAACCCCCCACUCCCUCGUAGCAGACUCCCAUUCUUCAUUCCUAACUUGGUGUUGGACCUACUAAAAUAAAUCCCAUUCCCCUUCUUAUUUCAAGAAGCAAACACGAUUUUGAUUUCAAUUCCCCAAUCCGAAAGUAAACGCACAAAAAUUGUACCCAUAUGAGAUUGCUUAUCCUCGAGUUUUUAGAUUGAAAAAAAAAAAGGAAAAAAGAAUGGCCCCAUUAGGAAGGGAUUUUAAGUGUUAGAUAAAGCCGGUGUUAACCAUUAGAAGGUCUCCGACCUUCAACUGUAAUAUAUUAAACCCAGAUAAAUUUACAUAUAAAUCACACAAACCAACAUGCCAAUCAAAUAAAUUACAUCAACUAACAACAAUUGACACAUUAAUUUUCAUAAUACAGAGGAUGCAGAAAAUUAAAAUGUUUUAUCUUUUCUCCUUAUUUGUGAAUUGGAAAAUGAAAAUGUUAAACAUACAGAAGAGUGAAACAGGAUGGAUAUAUAUACACACACACACACACACAGCUUUGGAGUUCAAUGUCAUCGUAUUGCUCCAAGAAGAUUGGCGCCAUCAAGCUUUGCACCUUCCAGAUGCUGUUUAAUCAUCACCAUAACACCUUCAGUAGACAUUAAUACAUAAUAGAAACACAAAAUUCACAUGAUCUGAAUGUCUGGUCUAUUUUACUUACCGUAUCUCGAAGAUUUACGUGCCGUAAAUAAGCUCUUUGAAGGUUGGCACCCUUUAAAUUGGCAUUACGUAGCUUUGCACCCUGCCGCAUAAAUGUUCGAAGUUUCAACAAAUUAAAGUCUCCUGAGAAAUACAUGUCACGAAAAAGUAGGGCUGAAACUUGCAUCUAAUGUACAAGAUUCAAUCAGGGGUGCUUGUCCCACAGUGAAAGUGUAUGGGGGAAAGUGCACUUUCACAAACCAAAGGGGCAAGAUGUGAUUAUCACACGAUUACAAAAGGACUGUAGUCAAGAGAGAGAACUGAACAUGCAGCUUGUAUUGAGGCCAUGAAAAUUGAUGAAAAGCAGUAACAAGCAACCAUUUUGAAAACACUUCAUAUGGUCGAAUCAAUAAAUCAAAGCUAAAAUGAUGUUGACGAUCGAUAGCUUUUAGGUGAUAAGAGUCUUGGCACUACAGUUAAAAUUAUUAUCUAGGAGUGCACACAUUAAUAAAAAAAAACACAACCAAUAAGCAUGCACUCUUAAUCAGCAUAUAAAUUAACAAGUUAGUUGCACCUUAUGUUGUUCCACAAACAGAUUGCUCGAACAAUUCACAAUCUUACCUUCAAAUUAGCUCCUUCCAAAUUAGCUCCCUCUAGGUUGGCAUUAGUAAGAUCAGCAGUCUGAAAAGUCAAGAGGACAAACAGAUUGCAAUUUGAUUAAAAUCUCAAAGUAGCAACAUUCUGCAUGAAAGAAGAGCAGCACAAUUGGCAACAUACAUUUUAGAUUAAGAGGAUGGGAUAAAAGCAAAAUUACAAGGACAUGAAGCAAAUGAGCCAUGUUUAGUAUGGCAAUUUUGACCCAAUAAUUGUGGCAGGUCUUGGAGAUAACAUAGGCAUACACAUAAGGCAGAAGCAAAUACUGUCGCAAACUCCUAGCUAACUACAAAUGUUCCAUAUAGAAAAAAACACCUGCAAAAGUAAGGGAAAAAGCAACAGAUAAAGAACUCAAGAUGCUAGACCUGUAAGUGUGCAGAUCGCAGGUCUGCUCCACAGAAGCUGCAGUCUAUCAAGCAAGCAUCUGCAAUGAUUUAAGAUAAAUUUGAAUCCAAAUGACAUUUUACCGCAAGUAGUUCCAGCCAUUUUGGGAACAAACAAGAAAUGCUAUUUUGUAUUCAUUGUAAUUCCUUAAGCUAAAUAACAAUCAUGUGCUAUCUUAACCAAGGUACAGUUGCAAAUUCUGAAAUUGUGAUGCCAUAGGUUGUUCUUAAUCUUUUUGAACUGAAUAUUGAAAAAAUAUUCCUUCAAUCAUAAAUGUUAAAUAAUUAAAAGAACUGUGAGGGGGGNNNNNNNNNNNNNNNNNNNNNNNNNNNNNNNNNNNNNNNNNNNNNNNNNNNNNNNNNNNNNNNNNNNNNNNNNNNNNNNNNNNNNNNNNNNNNNNNNNNNNNNNNNNNNNNNNNGGGGGGGGGGGGGGGGGAAUGAAUAAGCGGAUGCAUACAGAAAAUUAUGGAAAAUCUGUUAUGGAAAUAAUAUGAAAAUGGGUAUGCAUAACUACAUACUGAAUCUUGACUAAUUUCAAUUUAAUUCAGAUAAGAAAUUCCAGUAUGGGAAUUGCCUUGUAAAUUUGCACUCUGAAGAUUUGCACCAGCUAGUAAAGCUCCACGAAGGUUUGCCCCAGCAAAUUCACAUCUUCCCUAGGCAAGAUAAAACCCUUAAAAGGCAAUUUUGAAAAAUACAUAUAAUUGGGAGAAUAUCCAGUAUUGCUUUGACUCUCUUACUCACGCAAAGUUGCAUUGUGAAAAAUGGAACCCUCAGCAUCCACAUCCUGUAUCAAGAACAGACAGAUUCAGUAUGAUUAAUAUAACUGGUUGCUGGAAGACAGGACAAAAUCGCAUCUUGUCACUGUCAACUUGCAUGUUAAGAAUUAAACACGAAAACUGCAUGCUGUCCAAUUAUAAGAAACCUAUAAAAUUCAAAUCAACAUCAAUACUGGCUUAAGGAAGAUAUAAAAAUAAAAAUUAUACCAACCCGAAAUUUCGCAGAUUGAAGAUUUGCACGUGAGAAGAAAACAUUUCUAAGACACGCAUAGCUGAAGUCCACAAGUGAAAGAUCCUGGCCAUUUUAAUAAGAUAGCAUCAGAGGAAACAAUAUCUAAUGAAUAUAUAAUGUUCUUUCUUGCUUAUCUGAGAAUACUAAUGAGAUUAUCAAAAAAACUCUAAGCUACUGCUAAGAAGUCUUGUGUUACAUGAGUAUGAAUUGAGGAGGUAAAGAAGACCCUUCUCCAAUAAGUUACCAUAGAAGCCACAUAAAACCCUAAAGCAGUUACAAACUUACAAUGACCAGAAUAAACCACCCCAACUAUCUAUUGGCAAGUAAAAUCACUUCUCUGGAUUUCUGAAAACUAGCAAAACAAAUGCAUAAAUUGGCAAAUUCGAUGAUUUCCUCUGAAAACCAAAUUAUAGCAGACAUAAAACUUGGAAGUAUUCAUAGAAUAAAAAUCUUUCAAGCACCUCAAUUCAGUAAUUAUUACCAGCUUAGAAAGAUCAAGGCCAGAAAGAUUAAGUCCUCGAAAUCUGACUUUUUCAGACUGUAUACACUUGAUGAUAUCAAUGCGUGUUAGCUCAGUAUCUAACUCAUUAUCUUCCUUUCUCUUAUUUAUGACAGCAUGGAUUCUCUCAAUUAGUCCCUGAAAUGAAACACAUUAGAUGCAAACUAUUAUUUGAAAAAAGAAAUACAUUUUAUCCACUAACACACAUGGAUUUCAACAGCAAUCAUACAAUAAUUGAGGAAGGACGGUCAUAUCAGACUCAUCUGCCAAGAUUCAAUAAGCACAUCAAACUUGUUUACAUGUAAUUUCCACAUUCCACGUGAAUUUAUAAGGUCUGCCUAAGCAAACCAAAGAAGGCUACACUCAGUACUGUGUGUAUACUGCCUUACCUUUGCUGUUCCCCAGAUACCGUCCUGCAAUCCAGAUACUUAGCUGUGAAGUUUCAAGCCAGCGAAACCAUUUUAAAAGUACACAUGGACACAGAUACCAUUAUCUGAAUCAUCUUCGAUAACAAAUUAAAAUGCCCUAGCGUUCAAAAAACUUAGGAUCUCUUUAAGUGAAGUUCCUUUAAAAAAGUAGAAAAAAACUGAACAACAAUGUCAUGCUAAUAAAAGGUAAAAAAAAUAAAAUAAAAUAAAGCAUAAGGACAGAAGUUCACCAGGAGCAUGCCAGUAUAAACCAAAACGACCACAAAUCUCAACCAUAAAAUUUAAAGUAGUAAAGUAAAUAAUCAAGGGCAUGCAGUUGGCACAGGUGCUUCCAAAUAAAAUGAUGAUUCUUUUCAAACAGAAAAAAGAAAUGGAUGUUAAUAAACUAGAAGAAACCAUGUCUUACAAGUAAUUGAUAAUAUUCUGCUUCCCGUAGAAGCUCUAAAAACUCUGACUCUGUUAAUGUGGGGACAGCCCCAUCCCUUAACCAAUUCAGAAUAUGCCGAAAAUGUUUUCCGUCCCUAUCAACAAAGAUAUAGCCCUGCAAUAAUUCAAUAUGCUCAAAGAUAAGAAUCUGAAUAAUAUACCCAAGAGAAGUGCUUUUCCCUGGAAUAAUAAAAAGAAAAUAAGUCAAAACGUUUUUCUUAAUGGAAGAACACAAAGGAACAGCUCUAUGACUAACAUGAAAACCAUAAAUCAGAAUAAGAACCCAAAACUGGUCAUUUGGAGUUUCACCAGAUCAAAAAGAUCACAUGGAAAUAAAAUUGUGAAAAUGGGAUUAUUUAUGCCGAGGUCAUGGCUAAACUGCAAUCAUUACUCCAUUUUUGGUAGAAGGAGAAGAAGAAAGAAGAGUAGGUGAGUCAUCAUUCUUUCAGGUGAGUCAUCAUUCUUUCUCUGUGAUUAAUUGAUAUGAUGGAAGUGUUGUAGAUAUUAAUUUGAUAGUGAUUCCUCCCUUCAAAAGAAUUCAUUCCUUUUUUUAUUAUUUCACAAAGUUUAACUAAGACUGAGUUUUCUCAAUUUGAAGGCAUCGUGCACUCUACCCCUUUCUUUUCCUCACAUUGCUUCUUCCCAAUCCCAAAGGGAAGAAAUCAAGAAACAAUUACAAUUUUUAACUAUUCACCAGCAAAAACAAGGCAAAGAAAGAUGCUGAGUGUAAGCAAAAAUAAGAGAGUUAUACACCUCAGAGUCUUGGCACACAGUAUGGCGACCGCUGAACAUAGCUGCAAGCAUAGAUUCAGGCUCACGACGAGUCAGAGUAUCAAUUGUUGUAUAAAAUUUCUUUCCCCCUGGAUAUUAAUACAUAAAAUAUAAAUUUGUUCACUUAAAAGCAUGAAUUGUGCAAAUUUGUCAAUAAUGUCAUUCUUUCACAAACGUUCACCGAAAUGUAUAACAAUAAGUGCAUCAUAACAUAACUAAACGGCUUAAGAACUGCGCAGAUAUUACAUACAGUAGAGAAACAAGAAAUAGAAAAUGAGAUUUGCCCUUUUUAAACAGAAAGCAAUCAAAGAGUAAACUAAAGAGCUAAUAAUUCACAAAAUUCAGUUGAUUAAACUCAUUUACAAGUAAUUAGCAACAAAAUCCAAGCUAAAUAAAAAUAAUGAAAAUUAGGUUCUUAUAACAUCCGUCAAUUCUAUGAAAGUUUACCACGAUCAGCAACAAAUAGAUAAAUCGCAAUAAAGAAAAACCGACGACAUGUCGGUUGUGUAGUGCAUAAGUAAAGGAAUUUGCAGAUGAUGUAAAGAGAAUGAGGGAUAGUAACUGACCGAUGUUGAGACGAACCAUUGAAGACGAAUCGGAGUCCUUCGCCAUUGUCGAGUGUAAUGACUUGUCGUCUUACUUGCGCUCAUAGGUAUUUAUAUCAUAGCUGACACUGUUCGAAGGACAGCAAGGAUUUGGUGGGCACAAAUGCAUUUUGGAAAUUGGGCUUCGGCCCAAGAAAUCGAAAAUCAGAGGCUUUUUUUUAAAAAAAAUUUAAAAGGAUUAGAAUGUCUAUAAAUUAAUAGGGCUGAGACCAUCUUAAAUCUAUUAAGUAAAAGAGAUAUUAAAUAUUUUAUUAAUUAAUAAUUUAUUAAUUUACAGAAUUAUUUAUAAUUCAAUUAACAUACAUUUAAUAACUAAACAUUCAAUGUACAUAAUUUCUGAUUACAAUUCAAAGCACUAACAAUACUUCAUAAUUUCUUAUUACAAUUCAAGAAUUCAACCUCAUAGCUUUUAGAUGCAAUAAGAAAAAUAAGAAAUAAGAUUCAGUUAUAUUUAAAUUUUAAGAAAAAAACAAUAAAAUCAUAUUUUAUGUAAUUAAAAUAUCAUAGUCAACUACAUUUGUAAUUUCAACAAAUUAUUACUCUAUGAUUUAAAUGAGACCACAAAGUUAUAUAAGAUUUUAUCGAAAUUAUUAAUUUAAUCCAUUAGUCCAUGUCAAGACCUUGAAAAUUUAAUAAUUAUAUAAUAGAGAUUAUUAAUUUAUCGAGUAUUAAUUUAUAGAAGUUCUGAUUGUAUAUUAUUUUAUAUUAAUAAAGAAUAAAGUAGCAUUCUUUUUUAAUUCCGAAGUAAUAAAAUUAUGGCUAAAUUAAGAGAGUAGAUAUAUUUUAUAACUUGGUUUAAUAACAUCACGCGCCUCCCUUGUAGUUUUGCAGCUUUGAAGCUUUAUAAUGAAUCCUAUUAGCUUUGGCUGGAAAGUUAUAUUGUUAAAGAGAGUUUAUAUAUUAAACAAGGUGAUCUAAUAUUUCCAAAACUAAAUUUGGGAUCAAAAAUAGAAAACAUUUGCAUGUUUUUACCUUUUGGAAGAAUUACUUGAUAAGUGCUUCACAGAAAAAUGCUUGCUAUUAUAGAGCACCCUAAAAAAAAUCCUUAAUAAUUGAGGGAUCAUAAUAAAGUUCAAUUCUAAAUCUGUCAGAUAGAUCGAAAGUAACAAACCAUAUAUAUUUAAAUCUAUUUAGUAAUCCAGGGUUACAAGCCAAGCGUGCAAUAGCCAAUUCUGAAAAUCAAAGCUCAGCCUAUGCUCUCUGAGCACAAAUAAGAUCUGAUAUAUACAUAUCGAAUCCUCCAUUAUGUGGAGUGAAAUUUCCAUCGUGUACGGUGUACCUAACAAUGAGAAAGCAUGGCAGCAUAAAUUCAUCUUCCAUGUUAUUCUACUUAUUAGUACUGGUUCCCUCAUAACUUCUCCAAAUCGGGGAGGUCUGCAAUGUGUAAAGCACGUAAUCAGAUAAAAGAAAGAGAGCCAAAAAAAAAAAAAAAGGUAACAGCCAAAAGAUUAAAUUUCUUUGAGAAAUAGAAAAUGGGAGCUUUUGGCAUAGGCACAGAAUAGAAAGUAACAGAGUCAUUUACAGUUGUUCAGAAUAUGCAAGCUGAAAACAACUUUGAAUGCAAUGGACAAUUCCUCCAACAAACAAUCGAAUUGGAUUGUGGAAGAGACAAAAGCUUAAUGAGGUUAUGGUUUUGGCUAGGUGAACUCAAAAUUCUUUUAUAGACCAAGUAGGUAAAAACAAAUCCCAUAUAGAUGGAUGAACCUCAUACCAUGAACAGUUAAUCGCGAACACUUGCAGGCUUAUGCACACGACUAUGAAGAUACUAAGGGUUUCACCGAUGGUAAGUGAAAAAUAUAUGAUGUAUAAUUUAAAUGGAAGCACAUAGUUUCGGAUUGAAUUCAAGGUUAAAGUUCCACAGACAGACAGAAGAGAUGAAGCUUAAAAACUUACAGAGCAUUCCUUCAUCAUCACUGCUUUCAUCAUUUUGGCCAACAUGCUGAAAAAAGAAUAUGAUUCAAGUUAAAUGAUUGAGCAACAAUAAAAAACGUGCAAAAUUAAUGCUCUCUCCACAAAAAUUUCAGUCUAUAUUGGUAAGAAGAAACAGGAAGAAAAAAUUACCUCAGCAUCAUCGUCAUUGGAAGCCAAAUCAGCUGUAAAGACCACAAAAUGUUUGGUUAGAACCAGUGGAAGUCUUACUCUAAAAUUUUUAAUUUUUGAAUUUCGAAAGAUCUCGUAAUGACAAAGAUUUUCAUAUCCAGUGACCAAGUUUUGAAAAUUAGAAUACGGAAUGACAUCAACUAAAUUCACUAAUAUAAGCUAGAGGAAUCCCUAGUAGAUAUAGCGCACAUGCACACAUGAUAUGCAUCCGAAUACACAAUAAUAAAUUAUCUCAAAGUCAAUAAGAAGCCAAAAUUAGAGAUAAACUUUUAGCCACUAUAAGGAAGACUGAUAUUUGCAGUGUGAUUACAAUAAACAAACAGAAACUUCACUACCCAUAAGUAAAACAAAAUAAAUAAAGGAUAAUAACUAACCAAGAAAUGGAAAAGCUCACAUUCUCUGAACACGCACCCCAAAAAGAAAGAAAGAAAUAAAUGUUCUCAUUGGAUCUGAAGCACAAGCAAUCCACUGACAUCCUUCUAUAAUUAGGUAAUUUAAAGGGGUUAAGCUCACAUCUUUUACGGAAGUAAGAAGAGAAUUAACAACCUUCCAGAGGAUUUAGGGAAAUACCACGAGGCAAGAAAAAAGAAAUAUCCUUCUUCAAUCUAGAUAUCCUGAUACUGCUCACCAUCUACAACAGUCUGUGGCUUAAAAAGCAGGUCACUGAUCUCUCCCUCCCUCUGGCACCAUUUUCUCUCAUGUCUCAUUUUUCCCUUCCUGCCAACUCCCACUACAGUAUUGAAACCUAUUCUAUCAACUCUUCCCCCUCCAAUAACAAGACCAAAACCAAUUUUACUCGCCGGUUAGCUAGGUAGUAAAUGGAAAUUUGUGAAUCUGUCAUUCAUCCGUAGAAACAAACCAGAACUGCAUAAAUUCUCUUCUCUCCCAACAGCUUCUUUUCUCCAGAAAUAGGCACAAGUAUUUGACAUGGAAACAGUUUAUCUAACAUGGCCACCUUUAAAGACAAAGACAUACUAAGGACGUGGUUUUAGAUACGGAUACAAGAAACAAUCACAAAAUGUAAAAUCUAUACAUAUGAUAUUAAUUUCCAAUGGAUACAGCAAUUCAUUCUUUGACAUAACUUCAUCAGAUUACUAGGUUUGAUUAGGUUAUACACACAUUUAUUCAUUUAUUGAAUCUACAUGCACUUAGAAUGAGAGGUACCUAUAAAAACAAGUUACCAGAAAACAAUACAGCUAGAAAACAUUAAUCUAAGUAGUUCUAUAGGUUUAACUAACUGCAGGAAAAAACCAUUGAUUUUGUCCGCCAGAUUAUCGAGAUCCUAAUUCUGGUAAAAAGAAAAUGAGAUAAUAGAAAAUCAAAAAUUAAAUAGACACAAAAUGAGAAAUCAAGAUCAUAUGGCAACUAAUAUAUAGCAUGGGCUGCAGCUAACAAGCAAUAUAAGCCAUGAUAUUAUGCCAGAUACAAAUUUUGAGAUCCAAGAGAGAUCAAGAAGCAUGAAUACCACUAAAAUAUCGAAAGAAGUGAGUGCAGAAGGAUAAGAAAUCAGGUUGAUAUUCUUCAUACUUUGGAUCAACACGUAGUGAUGCAAUAAACUUGUAAUUAGCUUCAAAUGUAUAGGCUACCAUGUCAACAUUUCCGAAAACACACAAGAUUGUGCUGGAUUCAUACAUAGUACAUAUAUAAAAAAACAAUCUGCUUCUAAACUUCAUGAGAACAUCGAAUAAUGAACUUACAAUUUGAUCCCUCAUCAUCUUCAUCGCACCAUUUGUUCCAAUCAACCUUAAUGUAAGGUGCUGGUUUCUCUUCUGACUUGAGUAGCCUUUUCCACCAACCUUUCUCUUCUUUUUGGACCGAGCAUAUUAUGUUCCUUAAGCCAACUUUAGUCUUACAUUUCUGCACCACCAGCAACAAAACUCAAAGCAUUACAAAAGAGGUAUAUUUAGCCGCUCUUGACUCGAGUGAGAGAACAGGAUAAAUAGCCUAGGUAUAUCCACAUCCAUGUUAUGAGAUUGAUUAUGCAACAGCUAACUUUAAUAUAAAGCUUUUGCUUCAACAAAGACUAAAAUGUUUGUAAUUGUUAUGCUUUUGGAGCUAAAAUGUUUGGCAAACACCCACUUUUACUCUGCACCUAAUAUCUACCACCCACCCACACACUAAGUCUCUCGUUUGGUACAGCUAUUUAUCAGUAGUGGCUUUAAGCCACAACAUUUAAAGCGAAUUUACCCUAAAAUUUUACAAUGAAAAACCUAUACUACCUUUAACAUUGUUGUCAAAAUUAUUAUUAUAAGUAAUAUUUACCAAACACUAUCAACUUCCAAUUCAUAUCAAAGAGCUUUCACUCCACAAUAGCCGUGUCUUCUUAAGCCAGAACAACACAAUACCAAAGGCCUUAAGCUAGUGAUUUGAUUUCACAACAACUGCAGAUCAAGCCUCAAUCCCAAACAUACAUAAAUCAAAUGCAGAAAGCAAAAAUUUAACAAUAUGUUUGGUAUACUAAAUGUCUUUCAUAGUUUCAUUUCACAGGGUAUUUAGACAUGCAAUGAUAAAUUGGAGCAAUUUCAAGAACCGAAUUGACCUCAGGUAAAAUUUUGCCAAAAAGUUCCAAGCUGAAGUCGUAAAGCUCGCCUUGGACUCCGACGGCCGAGAAGCCAAAAAUCCCCUGAGGCUCGCAUUUCACAGAAAUGUCUUUCGCAUCGGGUAAUGAAAUGGUAAGGUAUACUUUAUCGGAGCGCUGAGCCCAAAGAACCUCCGGAUGGCGACUGAACAUAAAAGAAAUAAUAAUAAUAAUAAUAUUAUUAUUUUUUAUUGUGACAAUUUUGAACUAAUAAUUAGAGACAUUUAACAACAAUAUUGAUUAAUAUUGGAGAAGAAAAAUAAGGUUACAAGAGAGAAUCAGAAAGAUUACCUCAUUCUGGUGGAUGAUUGAAAACGGUGGGUCGAUUGAUGAACAGAAGUGUAACUGUCUGGGAGUGAGAGUGACUCUGCUGUUUACUGGGUAGAGUGUGCUUACUCGAAGAAAUUGAAAGUGAUAAUCUCGGGCAAGCCAACACGUCGAUUUGGUCAACAGUGGUCCAACAAACCAGGAACUAGGUUUUUUUUUUUAAAUGAUUUUUUUUUUCAGUAUUAUAUUGCCCCGCCCGUGGGCUAUUACAUUUUGGCCCUUUUGGGGACCCCUCGUUCUCUUACAAGAAGGGAAUAUUCUUUUCCAUCCACCGGUUUGUAGGCAGAGUACAUAUACUCUUCGAAAUUAAGGACAAAUUUCUGAAUCGUGCCGCAUUAGAAUUAAAUUGAGUCUCAAAAGAAUUUUGGUUAUAAGUAUAUCGUUCAAACGGUAAUAUAUUAAAAAAAAUAAUAUUUACUACAAUGUAGACCUAUCGGGACUUUGAAGCCCAGACCAAUUCUUGAGUCUAGCCUAAUAACACCUCAACAGAUCAAAAUUGAAAUCCAACUUAAAUUUCAAUAUUGUGUAGGGAUCUGCCUUAAUUUAGAUAUGUCAAGACCUGCCUUAGGCAUCAAAGUGAUCUAUCUUAACAUAACUAAGACUUUCUUUAAACAUCACAAUGAUUUAUCUUAACGUAGUCAAAUCUAGCCUAAAAAAAUCUAAAGAAGGAAAAAAGAAAUUAUUUUCACGUAUUGAGAGACUUAAAUUCUUAACCUUAUUCAUAAGAAAAAAAAGUGUAUUACUUAACUAAAUCGUGACUAAAAAUUAUAAUUAUUAUUUUUUGUACAUUUAGCUUUAAAAAAUCAUUAUAUAUAUAUAUUCAUAUAAGUUUUGACAUAAUAUACAUACCACUUAUUUGUUUUUUAAAUUAUACGAGAAUGAAAAAACUCAAGCAUUAAACACCAACUUUUGUUUCAUGCUAUCAAUCAACUUGAGAAAUUUUAUAAUAUAUCGGAAGUUCUACGUCACAAUUUAAUACGAAGCCUUCGAUUAAUAAUAAUUAGACACAUGACAAUAGAUGCUAGAGAAAUUUUAAAUUCCCUCUUUUCAUUAUCCCUCCAAAUUUAGAAUUUCAAAAAAUUAGAGAAUAAAUGUUGCUUGCUCUCUUUGUUAUCUAAUUCUAAUUAUUAUUUUUUUCUCUCUCUCUCCAAUCAAGUUGCUAGCAUUUUUUAAAUCUAUUGAAGAAUAAGAAGAAGGUUUUUGUCGAUGAAAUGAUUUUGGCAGCCUUUUUUACCCAAAGCUAACAUGAUUGCUGCGACUACCAAUGAAGAAAAAGAUGUGUUUUGCUGGCGAAGAAGAUGAUUUUUGAAGCAUGAGUGGCUGCCGUUUAUUUUUUUCCUUCAUAUUUUUCGAUGUAGUGGCUGUCCUCAAGUUUUAUUCAUUUACUUUUCAGUUGGCCUACUAUUUAUUGGCAUAAUGAAAAAUUUUAUUUUAAUAAGCAUUUAUAGAUUAAUUUGAGGAGGUUUCUUUUGCAAUAUUAGUGUGGUUUCUGCAUUGGUAUGAUUUAAAUUACGAACUUGCUACAAUCUUUAAUUAAACUGUCAAAAGUAAUUUAAAAAAUCUUUAAUUAAACCGUCAAAAGUAAUUUAAAAACUGACAGUAGAUAGAUUAGAGAUAGGCUUGACAAUUUAGCCCGACUCUAUUUUUAGUCUGAUUGAUCCGAUCCUAAUUUUUAAGACUUUGGCCUGAAUUUUUUGAUUUCGGGUCGGGUUCGGGUCAAAAUUUUAAGGCCCGAACAAAUUUAGGGUCAGGGUCGGACUUAAAACCAACCCGACCCGACCCUAUUUAAAAAAAAAAAAACUAACACACGCACACAACACAUGACAGUUCACUCUCUCUAAAUCGUAAAUCACACACACAAAAUACACUUACACAAAUUCACAAAAACCCUAAGCCAGCCACCCAGCCUGCUGCCGUCCUAUCAGCCAACAUCGUGACCGUCCGCCGCACGCCAGCCAAUCAGCCGUCGUCUCGUCGUCGCAUGUCUCACCAAUCAGCCAUCGUGACCGUCUGCGACGCUGCGACAUGAACUUGAACCAGCCGCCCUUUGUCGCCGUCCUGCCGCAUCCGCCUGCCAGCCAACGAUCAAUGCACACAGUUGAAUUGUGGGGUGGGAAAUGGUUUCGAUAGGGUCGGGCUCGACCCGACCCUAACUAUAAAGAGGUAGGGCUUUUUUAGGGUCGGGUUUUAAUUUUUUGUUGAUCGGGUCGGGUCGGGUUUGGCCAAACCCGAGCCCGACCCGACGUUUUGCCAUCCCUAAUUAGAGAUGAAGAUUGGAGAGAGAGAAAAAUAUAAUUUGAAUGAGAUAAUAAAGAGAGAAGAAAUUCUAUAAUACAUCAUAAGUAAUAUAACUCAUUGAUGUAUGCAUGAUAUAUGUAAUUAACCUUAAUAUAACUAACACUUGUAUGGUGAUAUUUCAAAAUAAAUAUACAUAUGUUAUAAAAUCAUUUACUUAUUGUAUGACUGACAUUUUAUUUUUGAUGUAUUGUACAAUUUCUCAGAAGAGAGUAGUAUUUAUUAUCUCUAAUUUUUUGAAAUUCUAAAUUUUGGAAGGAUAAUAGAAAGAGAAAUUUUAAAAAUUUUUCAACGUAUAAUGCCAUGUAUCUAAUUAUUAUUAGUCGGUGUUCCACGUUAAAACGUAAUAUAGAACCUCUGGACCUUACUGUAUAAUGUACUGUAGAAUUUCCUGAUCACACACUUUCUCAGUUGCAAAAGAGGUGGGCAUAUGAGUUCCUUACGGGGAUUUAGUGUGAAUCCACGCAAAGCCCAUAUAGAUUUUUCCGGUUAACCGCUAUGGCAUCCUAGUUUUAAACUCAGUACUAAAUUUACAGAUCCAUUUAAACCCCCCAAAUCAGUCUCUCACCGUCUCAAGUCUCAAACAAAAAACCUGACCGGAACCCAAACCGCCAAAUCCGAUUCGAUGGUGGACUGUGCUAAAACCCCUAAAAUUCCAAGACUGACAUGCGGUAAAGGAGAUGGUGAUAGACUUAGCAAUCUUCCGGAGCACAUCAUUUAUCACAUAUUCUCGUUCAUGGAAACAGUUGAUGUUGUUAGAGCAAGCACUGUUUCGCGAAGAUGGAGGUACUUGUGGCUUUCCGUUCCUUAUUUGAACUUCGACUAUCACACAAUUUGGUCAGACCCGGAAAGUAGAUGGUCUCGUAGGAAAAUCAAUGAUAAGUUCAAAGAUUUUGUCAACUGGGUAAUAUUUUCUCAAAAUGGGUCUGUUAAUAUUCAAAGAUUUCGUCUUUGCUGCUGGGAUUAUUUAGCAAGUUACGAUAACGAUAGAACGAUUUACAGAUGGGUUUCUGCUAUGGCACGUCGAAACGUGCAAGUGCUUGAUCUGGCUAUAGCUUCACUAUACCCAUUUGAGUUUGACUUGCCACAUAGUCUUGUAACUUGUGAUUCAUUGGUGGAACUGAAGUUGAGUUUGAGCUUUCAUGUUCACCGAUGUUUUUUAAAGCUGCCUACUGCUGCUGGUUUUAUUGGGCUCAAGUCUCUUGAUUUACAAAGUGUUGCGUUGGAUGAUAAUUUGUUUCCUGAAUUUAUUUCAAAUCUUCCCCUGCUUGAGAAUUUGUGUAUGUUGUCAUGUGUUUUUCCUGAAUUGAAGGUUCUUGACAUUUCUUCCACUAAUUUGAAGAAUUUGGCUCUGGAAUCCAUUGUUGGCAAUGAUAAUGCUGGCAAUGAUGAUGCUGGCAAUGAUGAUGCUGGCAACUACAAGCUUAAGAUUGCUUGUCCAAAUCUUGUGUCUUUUAAUUAUAUAGCUUUAGCUCCAUGGUUACCUCACUUUGCUUUUGAGAGCUUAAACUCCUUGCAAAAUGCAUUCAUUGACCUGGAUGAUUAUAACGAGGAUGACAUGGAGAACGAAAGAUGUCAUGUUUUAUCUACAAUCUUCAAUGACUUUCGUGAAGUUAAAGUUUUGAAAUUAUCAGAAGCCAUUCUUCUCGAGGUAUGAUUUCAAAUACAUUCAUUGCACCAAAUCAUGAUUCUGCCAGAACUUGUCUACACUUUUUUAUUUUGACAUUAGAAAUGAAGCUUAAGUAAACUGAAUCUACUUUCUUUGUUUGGUAAAAUAAGAAUUCUAUUGAUUAUGGAACCUUCCUAAAUGCUAAUUUGUUCUUUAGACUGUGUAUAAGUCAUUGUGACAUUGUAUGAAGUCUCAUUUAUCUGAGUAAUCAAUUGUUAUUGAUGUCAAAGACUAGAACUCAUUGGUGACUUGAGUUUAUGUAUAUUAUCGUUUGUUAGAUUUUUUGUGUGAUUAUUGCACUUAACUUGACUAAUGUAUUCUCUUUCUUUUUGCCAUUGUUCCUCCAGGUUCUUGAUCCUGAUCCUGCUCACGAAGAACCAGCAUUUUUUUCCACUUCAUUCAAUAAUUUGAAGUCCUUAAUACUUUCUGCAGGUCCGGGUGUAUGUCUCAUGCCAUCAAUGCUUAGGUUGCUCAACUGCUCUCCAAAUCUAGAAGCUCUUGCAAUAUAUUCUCCUAAGGUAAUCUUAACACCAAAAACUAUUCCAUUUGUUAGAUACCGUCGCUUCUAUCCAUUUUUUUUAAAAAUCAUAUCUCCCAUUUAUGUGCUAAAAUUUUAAUUUUGUUAAAGUGCAACUGGGCUUUGCUUAAAUUAUCGCAAUAGAGUUGAAACCUGAAAGUAUUUGUGAUAUAUUAUGUUUACCGCUUAGAGCUUAAAGUAAAUGUUAAUCUUGUGGCCUCUUGGUUGUUCCCAUGCUAUUGCUUGUUGAGCAGAUGGUUGAAUUUAGAGUCAAUCAAUCGGUUGUGUUCUUCUGAGGUUUGUGCAAGUUUUGUAAAAGAGCAAAGUUUAGUAUUUGUUUAGUUUGUGAAAAUGAUAUAGCUUUUUCUAAUUCAUCUUACUCUAUUCUUUGCUUAAAAAUGAAUUCUCCUUUUGAUUUGAUUCCUUGACUGCAUUUCGGUCUGUUUUCUCUUGGCAGCAUCGGCGUGGAUAUAAUGCUUAUAGGAAAACACCGAACAAGGCUGCUAUUUCAUGUUUGACAAAUCAUCUCAAGACAGUUGAAAUAAAACAUUUUAGCGGUGAUAUGAAUCAACUUGAAAUUGUGAGGUUUCUUCUAAGGAAUGGACAUGUAUUGCAGAGAAUGAGUAUUAGAUGGGUGGCAGAUGUUAAGAAUCAAGGGAAGAUUAUCUCAAGGAUAAUGAAGUUUCGGAGAUCAUCUUCAAGUGUUGUGCUGAAAUUCCUAGAUCCUAAGCCAGCUGAUGAUUUUUCAGAUUAUUUAUUUGAUGAUGAGCAAAAGAACUAAAAUUAUGUUUAAAUUAAAAAAAAAAAAAGUGGUUUAAGUGUAUGUUCGAAUUAAAUAGUCUUUUGGAUUUGUAGAAACUGAAAGGAGUACAGUGCCAGUCACUGUGGCAGCCUUAUGUUUUGUUUGAAAAAAUUCGGAAGCUUCUAAAUUGUUAUAUACCUCAAUUCUGAAGUCGUUAGUAUGUAUAUUAUAAGCAAUACAUAUGUUCCAUUUGUCAUAUUUUAUUUUGGCAUUACGAUUGUUUUGUCUUGAUUAAUAUUGAUUAUAAUUUGUUUAACAUUUAUCUGGCAUAUGUAGAAUUAUACUUUAUCUGAGUAGAUGACGCUGCUGCGUACAUCUUCAGGACUCGGUCAUAAACUGUUUAUCUCUGCGUCUGUCUAGCAUCCAUCCACGUAUGACCUGUCGGCUUUUUGCCCGCAAGCAUACAGUUAGGGGUGGUAAAAAUAUCUGUCCGGUCUGGAUUCGGUUCGCACCCGGAUGUUUUAUCCGGCCCGGUCUUGGGCAUCAUUUGAUAAAUUCGGAACCCGAGUUUUAUUAAGCGCCUUGGCCGUACAGCAGUAUAUUAUUUUAAAUAUUUAUAUUUAUUUGACUCAUUUAUUACAUAUAUAUAAAGUUUUAGACACUUAAAGUUUAUAUUUUCAUGUCAAAUUUCAUUAAAAUAAAUUUAAAACUUAUAAAAUUACCAAAAAAUAAAAAAUAUAUACAUAUAUAAUAUUAAAAAAUAUAAAAUCUGGGUACCCAAAUUAAAACCCGGCACAAUCCGACCCAGGCAUCUAUGCAUCCGGGUCGGGUCCGGUCAUUACGAUACCCCGACCCAGCCCAGGGUUUUGCCAUCCCUACAUGCAGUGUAUAUGAAUUGCAGUUCUUGUACGGACAACAUGUCAUCCAUAAAACUCGAGUUAUGUUCUUUUUAAUCUUUAGUUUAGAUUACAUUUUGCAAAACUAAUAAACGAUAGAGCUCCUAGCAAGGUCAAUAGUUAACUGCGAAUCCAGAAGAUCGGAAUGCUAUACCUUUCAAACAUGCAUUUCAAAGCCAUCUGCGGAAAUGGAAAACAAGCAUUUCAAACUCGUUGUUAAAACAAUGAUAAAAGUAAUUUUAAUCCUAAUUUUUAAUUCCAGGCAUGAAGCUAACUCAUAUACAAAGAGAUAUCAAGUAAGCAGAGGCGAAAGCUAAAAGCUUUGGUUACAGGGGUCGGUGUGAAUAAUGUAUAUAUCGUUUAGACAUAUUUUUGAAUAUCUAUUUUAAUUUAGGGGAUAUUAUAUAUAUUUAAAAAAAAUUAAAAUUUUUACGGGAGCCAUGGCUUACUAUAGUCUCCAUUAAGAUUCACCCUCCCUACUUUUCGUACUUCAUUAAAGUAUAGGAUAAAUAUUUACAAUAUUAUAAAUAGAUUUUAUAAAAGCAGUCCAUAUAUGAAAGUCCUUCUGCACUCUGAAUUAAAUAAAAAUAACGUGAGACUAACAAUUUAAGAGUCUUUUUUGCAACGUAUAUCGUGCAGUGAUGUACUCUAUCGACGGAGGACUCUCUUCAUAUGCUUUUUAUUUUUCCAUGCCUGAUUAUAAAUAGGAUCACUCUAUGUUACAUUAAACGUAACGUACACACACUCACAACAACAGUAACAAGUCCCAUCAUUAGAACUGUUGCUGUGAGUGCGUGUAUGUUACGUUUAACGUAACAUAUCACUAGCCUUAUAAAUAACAUCACUUUUAAGGAUUUUUACAAAUUUUUAUUACAACCGUAACUUUUGUCCUCAUACAAUAACGGUGUCCAUUGUCCACAUAUAAAAAGUUCAUCAAUAAACAUAUAACCUAAUUAAAAUUCGUGACAAAAUCCAAAGGAAAGAAAGCGUGGAGUAAUAUAUAUAACAAAGGCAUUGAGCAUACACCAGGUGUAAUUUGCAUUGCAUGGCCACCCUUACGUGGCAGUUCCGCCGAUUAACACAUCUUUAAAAGUUAAAGCCCCCCUCUCUCCUUGUUAAGGGCGUUUCAACACAACACUCAUCAAUGCAAGCAAAGAGACAGUGAAGGAAAAAUUAAGAAACCAAUAUUGUCACUUGGAAGAAAGAAACAAUCAUUACAUAUAUAAUACGAUGGAUACUAAGAACAACAGGAAGCAUUUGUCCUGCAUUGCCAACGACGUCGUUCACAGAUGUGCACUGUACGUAUCUCUCUCUCUCUCUCUCUCUCCUUUUCUUUUUCUCCCCGAUCACUUUGUUUUCUUUAUAUAUACGAAUGUAUGUAGAACGUAGUAGGUUUUGUAUAAAUAUCUGUUGCACACAUUAUUUGAUGUGCAUUUAAAUAUAAUUAAUGGUAAUUGAGAUGACACACAAAGACAAUGCAAAAAAAGAAAAAAAAAGAGAGAGUAAAUUAAUGAAUUUGCCUUGAUCCAGUUAAUUUGUGUGCAUUUAGCUGACUGUAAGGUGGUUUCGAGUGUGUUUUUGUUUGGCAACUUUUCACACAAAAGCACUUUUGGGAAGCACUUUAUGUAAUGUAAGUGCCUCUAAAAACUGUUUUAUGUAUUACUGCCAAAUGCAGUGCAGAGGUUACAAUGGGAGGGUCGGUUUUAUACCUGUUCUUCGAGACUUAAUUUCAAUAGGAGAUUGAAAUAUUUAUGAGAAUUAUGUUGUUAGCAGACUUAAUUCUUUUGGAGGAAUUCAUUCCAUCGUAGACCACUCAAUGAAUUUGGUCGAUUGAGAUUAUUUGAGUGCAUGCUUCAAAACUGGAGCAUUAAUUCUUUGACAUAAAUGGGCUUUAACAUAAGGCGCGUUCGCUUAUUCCAUUUAUUCAAGAAGUUGGCACUCAAUUUUUUAUUACUAGCCUUUAGAUGGCCAGCAGCCUUUUGUAGCCCUUUCUAGUUUCUACUAAAGUGGUUAUGUGCAAUAGUUCUAUUCUGGGUUGCAAAAUUAUUGUGUCAGUAGAAUCCACAUACAUUAUGUACUUUUCUGUAUUUAAUUUCAAGAGGCUUAGUUAUAUCAUAGUUUUAGGAUUAUAAUAAGUCUGUCCGUUACCAUGUUAUUGGAAUUUUUUUUUUUUUCUAAAUUAGUUGGACACAUUAUUGGAUUGGUCAAUAAAGGAAAGCAUUUGGCAAGUACUUGGUUUGAUAUUAACAUAUAGUUGCAGUAAAGCACAUUAACUUGUGCAUCCUGAAAUUCUUGCAGGCAAGUAAAGGCUUCUGAGGAUUCAUUGGUGGAGGGGUUUGAAGCUGAAUGGAAGCCUGAAAUCGGACAGUAUUCGAAGAAAUUUGUGGAAUAUUGCAGCAUAAAGGCUCUUACUAACAUGUGCCAGAGCAUAGAAGAAAAGAUUAGUGAUGGAUCAUUUAGUCGACUCACAUUUGAUAUGAUGCUUGCCUGGGAAAUGCCUAGUGCCGCCGAUGAGGAGUCUCAUACUGUAAGCAAUCAUCAUAAUACUCAUAUCCUAUAUUUAUUUCAUGGUCCACCAAAUCAUUAUGAUAUUAUCCCAAUUUUGGUGUGCCUAUCUUCUCUUCAAGUUGCUUCUUCUAUUUCUUUUUCAUUAUACAUUCUCUGGUUCUCAUCAGUUUUCGCUCCAAUUAAAAGAAGCAUGAAUUCUUUCACUUAUCUGCUGAAUCUGUUCUAAUGAUUGGGCAAUAGAUUUUUAUUCCUCUCUGUGGUUACUACUAUUUUGAUCUUGUGCAGGAGUGCAUGGGAAAGGAGAAUGAGGAUAGAAAGGCUGUAAAAGUCACUUCAGAUCAUGAUGAAAUUCCUCUCUUCUAUACAGACAUCAUGCCUCUUCUAGUAAGAGCGUCUCUUUCUGAUCAUUUGAGUGCUAAUGUACCGACCAAGCAUUAGCCUUCACUGAAACUCGUAUAUGAUUUCAUGAACAUUGAUUAAUUGUUAUUUUUGCUAACUACUCUAUGAGAUCUGAUCAAAUUAGAUAUAUAAAUGUUGCGAUUGAUCUUGGAUUUGCUUUAUAUUUGGCCAUCAAUUAUAUUUUACUCUUCAUUUUUAUAUUUGUUUGGUUUGAUAAUUUACCCUCUGGCCCAUAUAUAUGAUGGUAGGUUAAUAAUGAACCGAGUGUUGGAGAAGAUGCAUUUGUAUGGAUGGGAUCCUUAGUUCCUCUAGUUUCAGAUGUUAUUAAUGGGAGAUUUACAUAUGAAAUUCUGACAGCGCCAACAGGAAACCGGCUCCAUUCUCCAGCAUAUGAUAUAUUUCUAAAGGAGAUGGACAAGUAAUUCUUCCAAUUCUUCCAUGCAGCAAUUUUACCACUCAGAAACUUUAAGUGCCGUUUGGUUUUGUGACAUGCAAAUUAUCAUGGAACACUCAAAAUGAGUUGUUCUUAACAAUUUCUAGAAUUUGCAAACUCACUAACCAUAUCUGAAAAUGCAGAAGCAUUAUUACCACUUAUUGAUAACAAUAUCUCUGCUCGACUUGUUUGGGUGCUUUCAGCCGUUUUUCAUUUUCUUUUGGAAAUCUUGAUUUCAUAGAUGCAUAAAACAUUUGCAAAAACAAGCAACUCCAAAGGGUGUUGAGCUGGCUGACGAUGAAUUUAUACUGCAUGUGGAGGGAACUGCAAGCACACAGAGAGUAGUGCGCCAUAUUGGGAAAACAAGUUGGCCUGGUAUGUCUUUAGUUUGAUGUCUUACAUCUUUUUAACUGCUGUAGAAAUUGUUACUUGGAUUUUACUAAUCAUAAUUGUUGUCUCUAGGUAGGCUCACACUGACAAAUUAUGCGCUCUACUUCGAGGCUUCGGGAGUAAUAACAUAUGAAGAUGCUCUAAAGAUUGACCUCUCAAAAGAUGCUGAACUAUCUGUUAAACCAACUGCCACAGGUCCAUGGGGUGCUCCGCUUUUUGACAAGGCAAUUGUAGUCGAGUCCCCUGAACAGUAAGCAUAGUUGCACUUAUAUGAAAUUACUGGAGCUAUUAGCAUCGUUAUUCUUAUUUUAAAAAUUGUUAAAUGCUUGGUAGUUAUCCCAUAAGCUAGAUUUUAAAUGCAUAACAUACAAGGCAGACAUCAGAAAGCAUUCUGAUUCGUUUAUUAAAGUUUGUCUUUUAUUAAGCUAAAGAUAUUAAUGCUGCUAGAUUUUUCUAAUUUGGUUGUAGAUAUUGGUUAGUUACACUGUCAAAUGAGCAAAUCUCGUGGAUAUUUCAUAGUGUGGUUAUGCAAUUGUUUUUUGCCCUUCACUUUUCUAGAUCUGAGGGAAUUGUCCUGGAGUUUCCAGAGAUAACUAGCUCGACAAGGCGUGAUCAUUGGCUGGCCCUCACAAAGGAGAUAAUGUUAAUGCACAAAUUCCUGUCAAAAUUCAAGGUGGAAUGUCCAAUACAAGCAUGGGAGAUGAAUGCAAGGACAAUACUUUGCAUCAUAAGACUCCAUGCAGCAAGAGAAAUGCUGAGGAUAUUGCCUCCAGAUCCCACAAAAUUCUUGAUUUUUGCUUUGUAUGAUGAGUUGCCAAAGGGAGACUACGUGCUAGAAGAGCUUGCUGAGAGUCUGAAGAAAGUUAAUUGUGGACAUCCUUCCAGUGCUAGCUCAAUUCUGAGAUGUAUGAACCUGUCAAUUGCCGCAAGUGGAGAAGUAAAAGAAGGAAAAGAACUGGAGGAACAUAAACAUAUAAGUGAUGAAAGCUGUUCAUCACUGGAAACUGCCAUCAAUCAAUCUAAAGAGCAAGCAAAGGCAAUUGAAAUUGCUAAGUCUACCACUGAGGGCCUGAAAGAUGAAGGGAUCAGUGAUAGUAUCCUUGUUCUCUUGGUAUGUUUUUACUUCCAAAUUGUUGUUUAUGCUGCUGAUUUUAUAUUGACAGAAUAAGUAAUGACAUCUCAACAAAUCAUGGUAUUGAGAGCUUGUUUGACAUUUAUCAAACACAGCAAAGAAAUUGAAUUUUAUGAAAUUCCUAUAGCACCCUAUAAUUUGUACCAAAAAAUCUCUGCACCUUUGGCAUGCUGUAUGGUAUGGAAGUAUAGCUGUCUCAGAGAGGUUACUGUUAUUUACUUUAUUUGGUUUUGUAGUAUUGAUGUUAAGUUUGAUUUAAUAAUGUAGGAGCUACUAAAGCCACUUAAAAGUGUUUUACCCUGGAUUCGAGAAGUUGUUUCAUGGGAAAAACCAGCAACCACCCUCACUGUGAUUGCAACAACUCUACUAAUAGUGUACAAGUAAGUCAGUGCUCCCUCGUAAUUUUCUUAUAUACGGAAAUUUUUUUGAAAGUGCAUGUUGAUCAAGAACCACUUCAUUACUUGGCCUAUUAAUGUGUAAACUUUGCAAAUGACUAGUAAACUAUAUAAUGGCAAUGUAGGGAGUGGGUAGGCCAGGCUAUAGCUGCUUGUUUGCUCACCAUCGUGGUGAAGAUGCUUCAGGCAAGAAAAAAAAGGUUGACAGACAAAUGCAAUGAGAUAGUAGUAUGCACUGCUUCAGAUCAGAGCACCGUGGAGAGCAUUGUGUCGGCUCAAUACAGUUUGAUAACUAUUCAUGAGAUGUUGCAGGCAGCAAACAUUAUGAUUUUGAAGAUAUGGUCGAUAUUAAUUUCAAAGGCCCGCAAGGUACUCAUUUUGAUAACCUAUGCUUUCAGCUUAGCAAUUAAAUAUCGUUUUCAAUCAAUAUUGCUUAUUCGUCGUUAGCUGAAGUUCGUUUACCUACUACAUUUGUUGGAUGUCUUCAAUUAUUGAGGAGUCUUAGUUGCAUUUCCAAAUUGUUCUAAAUCCUCGUUUCAUUUAAUGGGUUGCAGCAUGCGGACACGGUUAUGGUGGCAUUGACUGGGUUAGCAAUAGUAUUAGCAGUUGUUCCAUUCAAGUAUAUUGUCAUGGGAGGUGUGCUGUACGGCUUCAUUAUGAACUCGAAGCCAAUGAAGUACCUGGGAAACAACUCAAACGACCAAAGCGGCAACAGACGUCUAAAAGAAUGGUGGGAGUCAAUCCCUAUUAUUCCUGUUCGCGUCGUGGACAAGCUUCCUGAGUGCCCAAAAUAAUGUGUCGGCUCCUGCACAAUCACAGUUGCCUAAAUCCUCUGUUUCUGAACUUUUGUUAUCAACUUACUGCACGAUAUACACUUCUGAGUUUGCUUUUGCCAUCAGAGUAGAACUGUAUCUGAAACACAGCAUACACUUAAAUGCUCAUUACAAAUUUGGAGAAAAGCACAAGUAGAAAAGGAUUGAAGACAUUCAGUAACGUUGAAAUUCUGCAUUUUCUUUAAUUUUUGUUAUGAACAAGUUUCUUAAUUAUUUGUUCUCUUGAUGUAAAAUAGCAUAUUGCUGGGAGUAAUGAAGAUGUGACUGUGCUUUUCCUAUUAGCAUGUUAAUAAAAGCAAAAUGGAAAAUUAUUAGUUACGUCCUCUCGUUUUGCGGCUUAUUGAGCUAACAAGUAACUUCUUCAUUACUAGCGUGCAAGUUUGCAACUAGUGAAUCUCAAAUAUAACUCUACCCAAUGGAUGGAUGUACGAUGGAUGUACCUACCCAAUCAUUUAUUUCUCAUUAAAUCUGUUAAAACAGAAAAAGUCCCGACGUCAUAUUCUUCGCGCCUUUUAAAAAACGACACGUGUCGUAUCCCACUACUCGCGUGCUGGAAACUUUAACCCACUCUGACUGCGUGACAGCAGAUCAUUCCCAAUUCAUUUCAGUUUCACUGUCACUUUCACUCCUCCUCAGGCGCCUUCCGACAAACAGGAAGAAUGCAAACUUGAAAACCCCCAAAAACCCUAACGUUCCCCCGGAGACCCUAACCCACCAUAAACCCUGGCUCUUAAUCCUAGCCACUAUGAGCGACCAAGACGAGCAAUCGCGAGCUCAGAAAGCCGCCCAGUUAACAAGUCCGCUCUCAUCCUCUCUCUCGAACCUUUCUUCUUCUUCAAGAAGCAUCCCCUCUAAUCAAGAUUUCCAUUUCUUCUACAAUUUCCCUGAAUUCAAUCAACCCGUCCAAGAAAUCGCGAACCAAUCGCAGCUCCUCCUACAAUCCAUCGGCUCAUCGGAGAUUUUUAACCAACCGAUCAAUUUUCCUGAUGAGGUUGACAUCUCGGACGCCUACGACUGGCUUGUCGACGUAAACGACAACGUUUUCGAGCGUAUGGAUGUUUCUUUCGACGAAUUUAGUAAAGUAAGAGGGGAAAAUGGGGAAGGAGAUGGAAAUGAAGGUGGCUUUCAGUUGGUUUAUGGGAAGAACAAGAAGAAGGGCGACAUUGUGGGUGGCUCUGCCCCGGCCAGUGUGAAAGUGAAGGACAGGAAAGAGAAAAGCAAGGUGCCGUUUCAUAUAUCGACUAUAACAAAACCGCAAGAGGAGUACAAGAUAGUUGUGAACAAUGCGAACCAGCCGUUUCAGCAUGUUUGGUUGCAGAAGAUUGAGGACAGUGGACGGUUUAUCCAUCCUCUUGUAAGUUUGUUAUUUUUUGAAUAUUUUGAUAUUGGAUUUGACUUACUGGGUUUGUUAAAUUUGUAAUCUGAAAAUAGUACCUUUCUUAGGGACUUUUUAGUGAUCAAUUAUUUCUUUCAUUUUCUUUUUGGGUGGUUUGUGGUAUAUGUUUACGCUUAUCUUGUUUGGAAUUUGUGUGCAAUUCUUAUUAUUCAUGCGAGAAUUUUAACACUAUCAUGUGGUUCAUGCUUGCCAAAAAUAUACCAAAACACUUUUGCUUAUUGCUAUUGCUUUAUUUGUACAGGACAAUCUUUCUGUUUUGGAUUUUGUUGAUAAAGAUAUAGGGGAUGUGGAACCUGUAAAACCUCCCUCGUUGGAGCAGACACCAUUCAAGCUUGUGGAAGAAGUUAAAGAUUUAAAGGAGCUAGCUGCUAAAUUGAAGAGCGUAGAUGAGUUUGCGGUAAAGUCUGACUUCUGUGAUUAUGUUUUAUUGAUAAAUAAUGCCGUGGUUCAGCCUUACUGCAGUAGUUUCUUUUUUUCAGCCUUUUGAUUUCUCUUUUCUGAUGGGGCAUUUCAUAUACAGAACUGAACACUGUCCUAUGUAGAGGAUAUAGUGUAGUUAAGGCACAUGUCACCGAUGUCAGCUACUUCAAAAUUAUAUAGUGCUGGAUGUGGUUUAAGCCAAUAAGACAAGAAAGGGGUGUGGCCGCCUAUGAAGAUACAUACAAAUAUGUUAAUAUUCGAAACAUAUACAAAGAAAUGUGCCUGUAAUAGUUUUCCUGUCUACGUAAAGUAGUAAACCAGCUGUCUAUUUAAUCUUGAUACAAGUUUUGCAUGUUUAAAAAAUUAUCUUUCAUCUUUAACAGUGAGUCCAUUUUUAGCUGUAAUCCUUUUCUCAAGCAUGACUUGGUUUUGCUUUCGUUUUCAUCUCAACAGUAAACCUGUUUGCAACUAGAAAACAUUGUAAUUUUUUUGUAACUUUUCUCUAGGUCGACUUGGAACAUAAUCAAUAUCGAUCUUUCCUAGGAUUGACUUGCCUGAUGCAAAUUUCCACCAGAACCGAAGAUUUUGUGGUAGAUACGUUAAAGCUUCGCGUUCAAGUUGGGCCAUAUCUUAGGGAAGUUUUUAAAGAUCCUACCAAGAAAAAGGUUGGUCCCUUCAACAUGCUCUCGCGUAGCUUUGUGAUAAAUCUUAUUUUUUCCCCCCCAAAUUAUGUUAACUUUUACUUUACUAGGUGAUGCAUGGAGCAGAUCGAGAUAUUGUGUGGCUUCAACGGGACUUUGGCAUAUAUUUGUGCAAUAUGUUUGACACAGGACAGGUUUUAUCCCUUGAAACUCUCUUUGAAAUUUGAGACUUUAUUGAUGAUCUUGUCUGGUUUUUUGUACAAUGGUUAAAUUUAUCUUAUCUUAUCUGCUUUUUUGUGGUCUAAUUUAUGAGUGUUGAUGCAAGCCUUUAUUCUACUAAAUUAGUUAAAUUGAGUUAUCUUUUGAUACUGUAUUUUCAAUUUUGUAAUUCAUCUUAUGUGUUUGAGUCAAGGUUUGGCUUCAAAAAGCCUUGUCAGUUACAUGUCAUCUCUCCCUUAAUUUUUUCAAAGUAGCUUCGCUUGUCAUUUGAACUAUUUGUAUCAUUAUUUUCAAUUUUGAUGUGGAACUUCCCCCAUUUAUUAAUGUUCUUUUGGUUGUUUUUGUGUAAUGCUCUUUUGUAAAUUUUACCGUGGCAUUUAUUUUGUUUUGCAUUUCAAAUAAUAGUGAGAAUUGCUUUUUUCAGUCCUAAGUUUAUUGGUUUAUUGUAAAUAUACUGUAUAUUUAUUUUGGUUUGCAUUGGGAGAUGAUCGUGGGAAUUUGUUUCUGUCUUUUCAUAAGGCCUCAAGAGUCUUGAAAUUGGAGAGAAAUAGUUUGGAGUAUCUUCUACAUCACUUUUGUGGAGUUAAUGCCAACAAAGAGUGAGUCCUUUUGUAAAGUACCUGAUCUGUUUCUCCUUAUAGUUUCCGCCCUUCAUCAUCCUAAGUCAACUCAUUGCAGAUACCAGAACGCAGAUUGGAGAGUACGUCCUCUUCCCGACGAGAUGCUGAGGUACCUUUGGUUCUCUUUUUAUCUUCUUUGUAACCUACUUUUCUAAUGAGUUCUCCAAAAAAAAAAAAAUUAUGAUCUGUUUGGCAUGAAAAUAAUUACUACUAUUUUAAAGUUCUUGUAUUCUUUGGAAAAGCAGAAAUCAUAUAUCAUCAUUUAAGUGUUUGGGGUUUCAUCUUUGCCUGUAUUUUUGUAGAAACUAAUAAUAUUUUUUUUUCUGUGGCUUAGGAUUUGAAUUGUGGGAAUAUCUAUGUUGGAAAUUAAUAAUGAGUGCACAUUGACUCUUGAUAGUGGACAAAUAUUUGGACAGCCAGGAAGGGGAAGGCCAACAAAAGUUUUGGGUUUUUAUAAGUUGAAGUUAUGAAUGGUUUUAUAAUUAAUUAGGUAUAGGUUUCCUCAUUUGGGUAUUUCUGGGAGAUCUGGGUUAUAAGAUUGAGAUAUUCCAGCCUGUAUAGAUAAUUGUAGGGUUGCCUGUGUUUGUGAUAUUCCAGCGCGUUUAUUAUUACUACUUCUUAUAUAUAUAAAAUUUUAGACUCUUUCCAUGUCUAACAAGAAGUUUUCAUGAUAUCACUUGGAUCCUACUCAUGCAGACUUGUAAGGCAUCCUUAGGUGCGGUUAUGUGAUCUGGUUUUUAUAAAUAUUUUUAAAUUUUUUGUCAGAGACAAUGCCUGUAGUGACAAUGUACUGACUUAUCUUUUGGUUAUUACCAAGCUGAAUCAGGUUGCCUGUGGUUUAUGACCAUACCAUUUGGUCUUAUAAAAUGUUCUUCCCUUCACCUCAUGUUCUCAUACUUUAAAGCAUGAAUAAUAUCUAAGGGCCUGAGAUUAUUUCAUUAAUUUUUCCCAAGUCUAGAUCCUUCCCAGAGAAAUGGAUGGAUUACCCACACACUCACCAGUAACAUGUCGUACUUUAUGACGGUUUUGCAUUACUGCUGUAUGUCAUUUAAUUUGCCCUUUUGAGGAUUCUUUAUUUUCUCUGGGCUGAUGUUACUUUGUGGUGCUUUUUUUUCCUAUUUAGUCAAAAUAUAUAUUCAUCAUAGAGUUUCUCUGUUAGAAUUUUCUUAGCUUUGAGGAUUCGUUAGUGGCAUAUCAUCCAAUUGAUUAUACUUGUGAUGACAGAUACGCUAGAGAAGAUACACACUAUCUGUUGUAUAUAUAUGAUAUAAUGAAAAUCAAGUUGUCCUCAAUGCCCAAGGAGUCUGAGAAUUCUGAUACUCCCCUGACAGAGGUAUGAUUUUUGCUUAACUGUUGGUGUUGUUUUGUAAAACUGUUGGGCAUCUCUAUGAUUAUAGAGAAUCCAUUUUUAAAUGCUUUUUUCAGAUCUUGUUGUGCCAUGUAUGACAGACCAUUGCGUCUGGAGAUUGGCAUGGAGCUUAAUAAUUACAAUGUUAAAAAUAGAACAUAAAAUAUUGGGAAGUAUCUAUCAUGACUAAUUCUUCAACUGUUUAAGGAAGAUAGUUUAAAUCCGAAUAUCCUUUUUUGGAUUGUGGACUAAAGAAAAUUGUCAACUCUUGAUUUCUCUUCCCAAGGAUGAAGACGUAUCAGUCUGUUGGCAAACACAUUUUUUGAAUUUUACUUUAGUUAUCUAUAAUUUUACCAUAUUGAGCAAACAUUUUGUUGCAAACAGGUCUACAAGCGCAGUUAUGACGUAUGCAGGCAGCUGUAUGAGAAGGAGCUUCUGUCAGAAAAUUCUUAUCUCCACAUUUAUGGGUUUGUCUUUGUCCCUAUUCAUCUCAGUUUAAGUUUUCAUUUAGUGGCCUCGCCUGUUUAAAAUCUUCUCUCAUACAGUUUUUGUUUGUUUCAUUCUUUACUUAGCAUUACUUCUCUUGUUUAAUUUUAGUUCUAUUUUGGACUUCGUAUUUAUGUGAUUUGACAGAACUUAAUCAGUGGAGCUUAUUUCUCUAUGUUGAAAUAGGUUGCAGGGGGCUGGUCUCAAUGCUCAGCAGCUUGCUGUUGUUGCGGUAUGUCAGUUCUUCAUGUGUUUUUCAAACUUUGCCACUUUUCUAUCUGGAUAUUAUAUGCAUGAGGAUGCUACUGAAAAUGUAUUAUCCGCAUGUUUUGUUUACUAGUUGCAUCUUCAAAUGAAACAAAGUCUUGACCCAGAAGAAUCCGUAACGCACCAAUAGUCACUAAUAGGAUUGUCUUGAGAAAUUUACUUCUAAAUUUUUGAGUGGAUGAUAGAAGGGUGGAUUUUAAGUAGCUGACACAUCAUUGCCAACUGCUGAUAGAGUCUGUUGCAUACUUGAGUAUUCUUGCUAGUUCUGGCCCCAUUGAUCCCACUUCAAUGAUUUGCAGGGUCUUUGUGAAUGGCGAGAUGUUAUUGCUCGUGCAGAUGAUGAAAGUACUGGCUAUGUAUUGCCAAACAGAACUCUGAUUGAAAUUGGUAGAAACCUGUCUGAAUUUCCUCCAACUCUCUCUUCUAUAUGUAUAUAAUCCAUUUGGUGAGUUAUGAGUUAAUCAUAUUUUCCUUUUGUGGUAAAAGCCAAACAGUUGCCUACUACUGCUGCCAAGUUACGUCGAUUGUUGAAAUCAAAGCACUCAUAUAUUGAACGCUAUAUGGGUCCGGUACUUAGCAUCAUAAAAAAUUCUAUGCAAAAUGCUGCUAAUUUUGAAGUCAUUGCUCAAAAAUUGAAAGAGGAACGUAUGGAAGUGGUAAGACCUGCAUGCUCAUGUUUGAUUGUUUUGUUAUAUCAGUGAUCCAAAUUGAUUAUUUUUCUUUGAGAAUUUGAUGUUAAUGCCUUCAAUGGAUUGCCAACAUACAUUGAUUUUCUUUUUCUUUUCCUUGGAUUUCGUUAGAAUCAGACCAACCAUCUUUUAAACGAGGAUGAUGGUCCAAAACCUUAAGGUCUACUACGAUGAAUUGCUACUUUUUGUGCAAGUUCUUGUAAUUCACUCAGCUGGUUGUCUUCGGCAAAUGAAAGGAAAAAGGAAAUUCAUCCAAUCCAGUUCUAUUGAAGAAAAAGAAUCCUAGUUGAUCUUACAAAAUUAAGCUUUCAUAAUUUGUUAACCCAUGGAAUGUGAUUAAAACUCAUGGACAAAGGAUGUUCCAGUUGAGAAAGGGAUUUGAGUGAUUUUUAGCAAUUAUCAGUGAUGUCUUCAUUAGAAGUAAGUUUAUGGUUUAUAGCAGUAAAUGCUCAAUAAUUAGGUACUCCUUGUAUAUUGGCUGACCGGGUCCCAUGUUUGUAGUAGGUUUUGUGAGCUACAGAGGAUUAACUUCAGUCAGUUUUCCAUGUUAUGGCUGUUAAGAGCUAUGUCACCAUUUUUCUUUGUUUACAUCAAACUAAUCUUUUUUUUUCCCCCCAUUUUUCCUUAUUUGUGUAGGCAUCAGAAGAAACUGAAGUUUUAGUUCUUGAUACUUCCUCAAACUUGAAAAUUCCGAAUGUUGGAAGGGAGAGUGUUGAUGGUGUUGAUGCAUUAGUUGGUACCACGAUGCCUCACCCACCAGCUUACACCCAGCUGAAACAAGAGCCUCCAAAGGUUGGAAGCAGUGUCGCAGAACUUGACAGAAAUGGACUAGGGUCUUUUGCGCAUCCUGGAGAAGCAAUUGCUUCAGAAAAUAAAGAAGCUACUCAUAUUUCAACACUUUCCAGCUCUGGUCAAAGUAGAGACUUGAAUGCUUGCAAGUCACCUUCACCAAGGGUUGUGAAUUUGAUGCCUUAAUGUGGAUUUUUUUUUUUUUUGGUUAAGAGGUUUAGCAUUCAAUUUCUUUUUCUUUGGUUGUGAAUUUGAUGCCUUAAUGUGGAUUGGAUUUUUUUUUUUUUUGGUUAAGAGGUUUAGCAUUCAAUUUCUUUUUCUUUAUAGGUUACUGAAGCUGCUGUUCAGGCUCUAAAGAAGCCGAACCGUGGUUUUGGAGCACUGCUGGGUAACCCAAAGAGAAAGUUUGAUGGCGAGAAAAAGGUGAGUUAAUCAUUUGCUAGUAAUGGUUGUUAAACAUCUGCUAUGUCAUUGUCACAUAGCAAAAUAACUAUUUCUGAGGCCUGCCAGUCACCCAGUUUGUGCAUGUGUGGUUGGGAAGAAGGCAACAAAGGAAGAAUAUAGUUAAACAUUUGCUAUGUUAUUCUUACAUAGCAAAAUAACUACUACUGAGGCCUGCCAGUCAGCCAGUCUCUGCAUGUUGGUUGCAAAGAAGGCAACAAAAGAAGAAUGUUUUUUUUUUUUGAAUCUUCAUUCCAUGAUUCACUUUCUUUUCAAUUUUUCUUGUCAACUAGCAUGUACAUUUGCCUUCUUGUUGCCUUUUUCGUUGCGUGAGUCAUUAUGAAUUAUGAUUUAUAUUAUACGGAAAUUGUGAGUGGGCAACUGUUGGGCUAUAAUCAAACAUGCAAAAUUUCGGGUCCCAUGACUAAGCGCUGCUAUCAUCUGGAUUUGUGUGUUGUUGCAUUUUAUAUUUGGUUAACACCCUUCUUAUUAUCCUCCUUUUGAUUGUUUGUUUGUCUUAAUUAGGACAAGGAAGCUAUGAAACUAGAGCAGAUUAAAUCCUCAGUCAAUCUUCCAUUCCACUCAAUUUUUGCAAGAGAUGAACAGUUAAAACCAGUUGAUGUGAUGAAGUCUGAACCAAAUAAGCCUGACAUUCCAUUUCCUUCAUCUUUUGGUAGUGGGCAACAAACGAAACCAAUCAUAGAGGAAUCCAAUAGAGUUACAGUAGUUUCCCAAUCAGAAGAACCCGCUCCGGCUGCUAGGUCUGAUACAGAAGAUAUUAUUACGUUGGAAGAUGAUAUAGAUGAAGAGGAACAAAACCUUGGUAAUUUGGAAACUGCAAGUGCGCCCGGAGAGGACGGUUCUGCAGGGUCUGCUUUGGAAAUGGGUAAACAAGAUGAGACCAUGUCUCUCUCUGAUUUAUCAACUAGUUUCCAGGAGUGCUUCCACUCUGCUAACAACAAUAGAAAACCUGGAAAGCCUGAGAGAUCUGAAGAACCUAGUGGUUUUUUGCAGCUUAAGCCGUUUGACUUCGAAGCAGCUAGGAAACAGAUCGAGUUUGGAGAAGAUGCCAAAGAAAAAUCAGCUGGGGUUGAUGGAAACAAAAGAAAACCAGUGAACUCUGGAGAUAAGAAAAAAGUUUCAGCUGUAGAUCAAGCUCAAAAAGAUGAUGGAACAAAAGAACUGUCACAAGGUAGACGACGUUCUGCUUUUCCUGCAACUGGAAAUCGAAGUGCAACAUUUCGCUGAGUCUCUGGUAUCAAUCAUGCUGCUCUGUGUAGCAGAAAUUAGUUGAAUUUUGGAUUUUCACAAUCAUGUUCUUGAUUUAAAUGGAAAUUAAUGCUGGUGGACAAAUUCGCAAUGGUUGUACGUAUAUUUCCAUUGCUUGAGGUCUUGUCUGAUACAGCAUGAGCUAACCUGAUCAUCUUUUGAUAUUCAGUAACAGGAGAGAUGUAUGGUCUGCAGGAGCCAAUGAUGGGCAAGUGAUACCUGAGGCCGGUGUCUAUUUGAAGGUAAAAUGGGCGAUGGUUCUAGGUUUCAUAUUAGGUUUUUGAUAGUCUUGAGUAAUUGCCCUACUAUCUUCAUAUUUAAAAAACAGGAUGGUUUCAAACCAAAGUGCGGUUUGUAAUCAAAAGCAUUUGAUCUUUUUGUUUUUGUAACUUUACGGGUUUUAUUUUUAGAAAAAUGGUUCUGUACUAUGGUUUAUUUCUGCCUUAUUUGAUAUUGUGGUCAUCUUAGGCUUUAUUUAGUGUAAUUUUUCAGUUAUAUGUUCGUUUGGGAAGAGGAAAUGAAGUUAAUUUUAUUUCACACUUGCAUAAGAAAAAAUUGUAAUGUUUAUAUUAUUUUUGUUAAAAUUAUUAUUUAAAAAUUAUAUUUGAUAUCUAUUAAUAAUUUUUAUUAUAAUUAUAAUUUUCUUUUUCCUCCAUCAUCUCAAUUGCUUAUAACUGCUGUUGAGGAUGGUUGGUGCGAUGUUAAUAAUUUGUAAAGGGCUUAGUAACAUCUGGUUCCGUGAUGUCGGCCAAACCAUAUCGAAGGGCUUAAUUUGACGGUCAUCGGGGCCUCCUGCCCAGCUGCCCUCCUUUACGGAUUCCGCUUCCGCAAAUUAUUUUAUAUAAACUGUUGUUACAUGAUAGUGGUGGCCGGAUGAAAAUACUACAUGACCAUAUAAUGCUUUCGGUGCAAUGAGUGAAAAAGAGAAAUUUUUAUGUAUUCUCGGAUUGAAGGAGAAAUUUUAAGAUUAAGAUUGUGGAGUGGUAGCAGGAGUAAAUUAUUUACUUACAUCACUAUGAGAGUGUGGAACG